AAGAGAAUAAUAAAGAGAGCCAAAGUUUAUCUAAAGCGACACAUUCUAUCAUUGCACCAUUGGAGCAUCAUUGCACCCCUCAAGCUCCCAUCGUUGUUCCUAGCCCUUCUCCCUUCCCAACAGUUGCUAAAAAUGGGAGCAGGGGCUAGGAUCUUUGGAAGUAGAGGAAACAAUUGGGAACAAUUUCACAUUGAAUGGAAUCUUUUCACCUCUCUCGAUUGAACUCCAAUGCAAUGAUUGCUUCAAUUUGAACUUGGUUCAAACAGAGCAUUCCUAUUAUGUUUCUCAGAUUCAUCUUUGAAGUCUCCAAAUUGUUUUGGAACAAUUUUUGAAACAACUCUCUGACAGCUCGCUGCGGCUUAAAUAAGACACAUCUCUCUUUGAUUUAUACAUCACAUAGAUGAUUUUACCCAAACGAUUAGAAGUUCGGAACUUGUCAAGAAUGAGAGACAUCACUUAAAUUGAUGAUUUUAAACUAAUACUGAUAACUUCGACACUGGUCCUACUAACCAAUUCAUUUAGCAGUAUUAUUUUCCUACACGAAUAUUUUACGUUUCGCUUUUAUAUUCUCCUUAAUUAGGCCUGACUAUUGGCCCUUCUAACAAACGAGUCACUUCGCAUGAUUGAUUUGCACAUUACAUUCAUUCAGUCACAAAAUGUUAUUCCAUCGUCAAAACUCUCGUCUUCGAGUGCGGUCGAGUGCGGCCUAUACGUGUCCAAUUUCAUUCAUGGAUCUAAUUAUACCGCUUGGUAGCGUUCAUUUCGCAGCUAAGUUGCGUUCGUUUCAUCCCCCAUCACCCUCGUUCCUUCCGGUUGCAUUCGGAGAUUCCGUUUGACGGAUCCUUUCAAUUUUGGUUUGCAACUCCUGUGUUUCGCCACGUAUCAUGUACGCAGCUCUGGGUUCUACUUUCAUCGGGGUUUGGUUAUGUUUGCCAUCCCCCGGAACUCCGAGUGAUCAAGUGAGUCUCGUGGCAAUAUGAUGGGCUUCUGUCAGCAAAAAAUUAGAGUAUUUUAGCAGCGUCAUACACCUAGGGUGUCGAGCACGUGUUCGGUCAUCAUCCAGAAGCUCACAUUCUCGGCUGCCAUCUCGGCUCACCACAUGCCCGUAUCGAUUCAGUGCCAGUGUGCAAGACCUCAGAAAUCCUGUGUCAUGAAAACAUCAUUACUUCCUCCGAGAAGUUAAGAUGGAGCUCAUGUGACUGUCAUCAUCGGUCCCGAAAUCGCUAUGAUGGCGCUCAGUGGAAGAAGAAGUCGUUUAGAUUAUUUGCCCACGGUACUCUUUCGAGCACCUCACAAAUGCCUCACGGCGUUAUCGUCAUUGCGCGACCUACAAUAAUUGACUCCACGCAAAACUCCCCGACUGACGAUGUGGCCCCCCCCUUGACACAAACCAAGACUCGCACGCUCCGAAAAAGCCCGCCCGGCCUGUCACAAGCAGGGGCACGCCCCCAGCGCGCUAGCCCUGGAAGCCCAUCCGUAUGCGAAGAUUAACUAACGAGGAAGAGGAUCAAAGCCUCAGCCUCUACUCUUCAUCUUCACAUCCGAACCGACAUCGUUCCAACCUAAAAUAAAACGCUAUCCGGAACUCGGUAAGCGAUAUGCCCAUCAUCCGAACACUCAUCCUUGUAGCUCCGAUUCCUCUAGCUACAGCCGCGAAGGCUAAGGAGUCGCGCUCAUAGACCGAGCGCGCACCUUGAGUACAAAUGUAGCAACAUGUCACCCACACGUGAAAAUUAACUGUAAACUCUUGAAUAGUAGGGCAAGCGCAUUAAUCAGCACAAGCACCGUGGAAGGAGUUCUACGGUUGUCUGGCCGCUGCCACGCCAUGAAGAAUCAUGACAUGACGGUUCCUCUGCGCACGAAAUCCGCCCGACCGUCCCACCAUCGAGACGCCCUCGAAUAUGACAUCGUGCCACGGUGACCCUCGCAGUGCAAUCAAACCCACAAACAAAACACGCCAAACAAGACACACCCUACAAUGCGAACCACCACCUGCCCCCAAAUACACGCCCACGGAAAAAAAUAAAAAAAUAAAUAAAUAAAUAAAAACCUUAAAGUCACGUCCUGGCGAACGUCGCCACACAAACUGCGUAGAGGCCUUCGAGCGCAGGACACAAACCCUGCAAUCGUUCUGAGGCGUGGGAUUCAGUCAGUGCGGGACACCAUAUAUAGGGUUUCGACAUGGGCGAGCCUUCCCCCGGAGGGCUCGCUGCAAUUAGGGUUUUCCAAGGUUACGGCCAUGUUUACUCGCUGGGCCGGGGCAGGGGUUGAUGAAUGUUCUUGCAAAAGCAAGUAAAAAUAGUGAAAUAUUAACAUGCACUCGUGGAGGGAUGGACCAAUUAUCAAUCAAACACAUCUAGAUCAUUAGAAACUUGUGUAAAAAAACACAAAUGAUUAGGAAAUUAUGAUAUUGUUACCUUUCAUAUUUAAAAAUAGUCCUAAAUUUUAGAAACUUGUUUAAAAGAACACAAAUGAUUAAGAAAUUAUGAUAUUGUUACCUUUUGUAUAUAUAAAUAGUCCUAAAUUUAUAAAGGUUUGACGCAAUUGAUCUACAAACUCAAUGGUACAACAAAAUAAAUAAGCAAAACAUGAUCUUUAUGUAAAAACAUUGGUAUUAAAUUAAAGAAAUCAAUAUAUUUGUGGGAUUAGAGAGACAUAUAUAGAAUGACCUUCAAAAAUAUUUAAAUAUUUUUAAUAUUAAAUUUUGGUGAAUCACCAAAUAGUGAUUGCUUGUCAUAGUGACAUGGCAUAUGUAUGUAGAGAAUGUUUUAGUUUGAAGUGGACCACUUAAGUUCAAUAGUCAAAUAGAAUGGUCUUGUAUAAGUAGUAUAAAUAGAGAAAAUGUGUCUUUUACAAAAGAAGCUACUAAACAAUUGAAAGAACAUUUUCAAGUAUAAGUCAAUGAACUAACUAUGUAUUGUGCAUUUCAUAGAGUUGGUUUGCUAUCCCAUGUGAAAGAAAAGAAACUACAUUUGUCUAAUAAAAAUAUCAAGUCUUAUUUAGAAUUUGCAAGAAAGUAUGACUAUUGGACUGUUGAUGAUUGGAAUUGCAUGGUAUUCUUGGAUAAAACUAAGAUUAACAAAUUUUCUUCAAAUCAAAGAAUUUGGUGUUGAAUUUAUAAUCCAUAAGUACUAUGAAAUCAGACUAUUAUUCCAACUAUUGAGCAUGGUGGUAAUUCUAUGAUGAUAUGAUAAUGUAUGUAUACACAUGGACUUAACAUGAUGCGCAAAAUUGAAGGUCCCUUUAAUGAGCAUGGAUUUUUAAAUUUCUUAGAAGAAUAUUUACAUGAUAAAAUAAAAAAUAUAUAAUUUAGUUGUAUCAAAAGUCAAAUUUCAAUAAAAAAAUAUGCCUAUACAUAACAAUAAUAGUAUGAAAUAAUGGUUAUCUAAGCAAUAUUUUGGUGUCUUACCCUUGCCUCUUUAGUCACUAAAUAUGGAAAGUAGAUAAUCUUUGGGCCAUUUUGAAAAAAAAUAAAAUUAAUAUGAUACACCUCUAAAAGAAAUAUUUGAAUUAUAGUCUCAUAAAGAAAAAAAUUUAUUUUCUAUAAUUGUUGAUGAUUGCAAGAAACUUGUAGAAAUAGUACCUAAACAAAUAAUAAUUGAAUUAAAAGUUAAAAAAAAUAGACAAAGUGUCAAGGAGAUACAUAUUUACUUAUUUAUUUUCUUAUAUGAUUAAGGAGAAGUAGAUAAAAGUAGAUUUAUUUCAUAAUAUUUUUUAGAAAAAUUUCAUAAAAGCUUCAUAGAUGUUGGAUUGAUUUUAUAUGUAUUUGUAAUUCCCUCAUAGGUUAGAAACUUAGUCAACAAGUUAACUAUGUGUUAGUAGCUUGCGGAACAAGCUAACUAUGUGGCGCACAUAUAGAAAACUUGCCUUGUAAGUUAAGAUAUGUAUCUUGCAUAUUCAACAUAUUUUUGAGGUUCUACAGACAUCACCAUAUAGUUCUUAGUUAAGAGUAUAUAUAGAGACAAAGACAAAGCCUUCUUUACUCUUGUUAAUGCCUUUCUAAUCCUUAGUCUUGUUUCAAGACUUUCUAAUCUUCUUAUCUUUGGUAAAAGCCAUUCUAGUUUAAUACUGUAUCAUCUUUGAGUGAAUUUUUAAUCUUAUUGAGUGACACAAGAAUGUAUUGACAUAUUAGUUCUUUGAGAUUUAUGUCUUUAAUAGUUUGAUAAGAGUGCUAAUUUAUUGUUUUUAUCUUGUUUUAGAAGUAAGAGGAUUUUUUUCACUUCCAUUGUUGUAUUUUAAAGGUUGUAAAUUAUCUACCUUUAAAUAAAUUGUUUAUUUUUUUAGCAUUGAUUUUUUUCAUUUAUUAUUAGAGGUUGUAGAUUACCUUCCUCUAAUUUAACUUGUGGAAUUAUCAAAUUGUUUAAAAUGGAAGGAAAAAUUAUAGAUGUUACACUUGGUAAAAGUGAAAAUAGAUUUGCAACUAUUGCAGAUCUUUGUAAAUUUGUCAAUAAUCAUAAGAUAAAAAUUUCAUGCAUCAUUGGCGCCAACAAAGAAAACACUAAUCCUAUGCCUAUGGAAGAAGUUCAAAGUUUGUGUCAAAUAGUUGUGUAGUUGAAGGAAGCAAAUAGAUUGACUUCAAAACCAAAUCUAAGAAGCUUUGCUUCUACAAAUAUAACAACAUCAAAGAUUAGUAUACUUAAAAAGUUUGAUGGAACAAGAUCAAAAUUUCAAAGAUUUUUGCAACAAAUCAAGCUCCACUUAAAUUUGCACCUCUCCAAUAUCUCAAUGGAUUUAGUCAAAUUGAGUUCAUAGGUGCAUUUUUAUCUAAAAGUAAUUUUUCUUAAUUUAUACCUUUGAUGGAAAAGGAUUCAUAACUCUUUUAUGAUUUGAAUUCAUUUCUAAAAGUAUUUACAGCCAUAUUUGGAAAAAGUAAACUAAAAAUAGUAAAAGAAUCCAAGCUCCUAUUUUUAUUGCAAUAAUUAUAAUCAGCCACUUUAUAUGCUAUUAAAUUUUAAAAUCUCAAUUAAUAUAUAGAUUGGAAUGACAAAGCCCUUAUCAAUUAAUUUCAAUAUGGAUUGAAGGAUAAUGUUAAAAAUUUGUUAUUGAUAAUGCCACAAGUAAAAUUUUUAGAAUAAUUUAUUGCUCAAGCCAUUGCUUGUGAUAAUUAAUUAUUUGAAAGGCAUCAAGAAUAAAAAAAUUCUUGAAAAAGAACAAGACAAGUAAUUAUGGUAGCUCUUAAGUUUUUUGAAACUAUUUUAUUAGUACUAGAAUCAAUAUAAAUCAAUAUGAUAUAUUUUAAACCUCUUACUAAGUAAAAAAAGACUCAUUUUUAUUGAAAAGGUUGUGCCUAUAUUAUAGAGAAUUCAAGCAUAAUACUCAAUAUUAUUUAACGAAGCAACAUAAUCAAAAAAUGAGGAGUAUGGUUGCCAAUGAGGAGUAUGGUUGCUAAUGAGGAGUAUGGUUGCCAAUGAGGACAAUGUGUCAAAAAAUAAGUUCCUCUAACUACAAUAGGAAUUAUGGGGUUGAAAUCUUAUGUAACUCCUAAUAGAGGUUCUAUUCUCUUCUUAGAUUCUUUACGUUGUUUUAUAAUAGAACUUUGUUUGGGACCAAAAAAUCACAAAGUCUUAGUCUUAGUCUUGUUGAUUUUAGAAACCUCAGUUUGUUUUGUAGAUGAAGACUUUAUCAAAAAACGUAAUAUAUUCUAAGUUAAGAAAAUUAAACUUGUACAUAUAGAAACAAUAGAUAGUUGUUCAUUAUCUUCUAAGGAUAUUGUACAUAGAACUAUUAUUUUAGAAGUAGCAACUAGUAGUGAUAAUUAUUUAAUAAUAUUUAAUAUAAUUAUAUUUAUUUUUAAUAUAAUUAUUUUAGGAUUAUUGUGAAUAGAAAGAUAUAAUCUUCAAAUAAAUUGAAUUUUUCGAAAUCUUGAUUUUUUCCAUAGUUUAUUCUAAGAUUUUGUUAGAUAAAUAAAAAUCCAUAAGAUUGAUACAUGCAAAUUAUUAUUAGUAGAUACAAAAACUUUCAUCCAUUCUACAAAAAAUGAUCAACUUUUGUUUUAUAUUCUAUACUUAUUGUUAAUAUAAAAAAGGUUUUAAGUGGUAUUCUAAGCCAAUAUCAAGAUUAUUAAGACGUCUUUAAAAAAAAUGUUAAUAUUCUUUUAGAGCAUCAUCCUUAUAAUUGUUCCAGCAAUCUUUAGAAAAGAGCUCAACCACCAUUCAGACCAAUCUAUAGCCUAUUACAGAACAAAUUGUUUGCACUUAAAGAAUACAUUAAUGAAAAUUUGGCUAAAAAUUUUAUAUGCCAUUUUAAAUCUUGAAUCAGGGAUUUUAUCUUAUUUGUAAAGAAAGAAGAUGGAUCUUUACAGAUGUGUAUGGACUAUCAAAGACUCAAUAAGAUUACCAUCAAAAAUGAGUAUCCACUAUCUUUGAUUUUAAUACUUCUUCAUUAAUUGUGUCAAGCAAAGAUUUAUGCUAAAAUAGAUGUAUGAGGAGCAUAUAAUCUAAUAUGCAUUAAAAAAAGAGAUAAAUAAAAAAUAGCAUUUCAAAUCAGGUAUGGACAUUUUGAAUAUAAUGUCAUGCUUUUUAAACUCACGAAUGCACCAACUACUUUUUAACAUCUAAUAAAUGAUUUUCCUUGCAAAUAACUUUACAAUUUUAUCCUCUAUUAUGGACAAUGUCAUUAUCUACUCUAUGAAGACAAAAGAAUAUGUACUUCAUAUUUGUUGUGUAUUACAAAAACUAAGAGAUGCAAGAUUAUAUGCUAAGAUGAAAAAGUAUAUGUUUUAUACUACUCAAGUUGAUUUUUGAGGAUACAUUAUUUAAAAUGAUGGUCUUAUGAUAGAUUUUAAAAUAUCAAAAUAUUAUAAAUUAAUUUUUUUCAAAAACAAUAUAAGAUGUGCAAUAUUUUUUGAAUAUUUUUGAUUAUCAUCCAACCUUUGUUAAGAACUAUUCUCAAGUUUUAGUCCUUCUUAUACAUUUGAUAUGUAAAGUUAAACUUGAGUGGAGCAAAGAAGCUGAAGCAUGUAUUGAAGCCUUAAAGAUAUUAUUUAUUUUGAUACUAAAUUUGUAUUGUGUUGACUAUUCUAAGGCAUUAUUUAUUGAAACACAUGCAUCAAACUUUCCUAUAGGUAUCAUUUUGUCACAAAUGUUAGCAGAAGACAAGUUCUAUUUGAUUAUUUUUUAUUUUAAGAAAUUUUUAGUAGCUGAGAUUAACUAAAAGAUUUAUGACAAAGAACUUCUUAUAAUUUUAGAUUCAUUUCAAAAAUAGCAUCAUUAUCUAAAAAGGCAUUGUUAGAAUAGAAAGAAUUUUCUUUAAAAAAGUGCUUGGCUUUUAAUUAUCAUUAAUUGCUCAACCAAGUCACAAGAUUAAAAAAACAUCAAUUAUAUAUAUAAAUUUAUUUCUAUAAAGGCAAUUACAUCAAUACAUAGGCCCUAAGUAUUAAAGAUCACCAAAAAUGUGAUAAAAAUAUUAUAAAAUCUUAUAUAUCCUUAAGAUGAAUUUUUUCCAAAUUUUAAUAGUUGAUAUUUCAUGAUUGGACUGUGCAAAUAAACCAAAAUUUUAUAUAAAGUAUUGAUAUAUUUUUCACAUCUAUCAUAAUAAAUAUCAAUUGUAGAUCUAUUACGGAUAAUAAUAUAUUGCCAAAAUCCUAACAGUAGCUUCAAAUCUUUAGUUACAUCCACCUUUGUAUAAUUUUCUUCAUAUCUUAUAAAAUAAGUAUUCAAAUACCAUAAAAUUUUGAUAUACAACUUUUUAACAUAAUAACAUAUAAUUUUAAAUAUAUUAAGCUAAAAAUUCAUCUAAAAAUUCAAUAUAUGGCUCCAACCAUUACUAUCAAAAAACGACUCACUUACAACCUUUGAAUUACAUAUGCUAUCUUCAAUGCUCUAUAACUCCUUCAUACAAAAUCCAAAGGUAAAAAAUCUUUUACAAAAGAUAUAUGUCUUCAAAUCAUCCUUCAAAUUGUACCUUUUGAUCUCCAGAAGUUGUUGUAAAAUUCCUUAUAUCCUCAAAAAAGCAACAAUAUAUCUUAAAAAGAUAGUUUAACUUCAAAUGGCUAUAUCUUUAUCAUUCUAAUUCCAAAUUCUCUAAAAUUUACUCACAAAUUGUAGCCCAAAUCCUAAAUUGUCACGAACACAAAAUACAUACUUGAAAUCUAACAAGAAGUUCAAGAAGAAGUGGCAGAACUAGAUUAAACAGAUGAGUACAAGAACAAUACCAAAAAGGUGAGCUAGAACUCCAAGAGAUGUGUUGUCGAGACUGAAGAACUCUUCAGCCUUGAUCCCUAUAUAUAUUCCUACUUAGGAAGCUUCUCGAGCUACUUCUAUUAACUAGAAAGCUUCUAGAAGGUUCCAGAGGCUUCCUUUCUAGAAGGUUCUAGAAACUUCUCAAGCUACUUCUAUUAACUAGGAAGCUUCUAGAAAGUUCCAGGGGAUUCCUUUCUAGAAGCUUCUAGAAACUUCUCUUCUAGAAGGUUCCAGAGACUUCCUUUCUAGAAGCUUCUAGAAACUUCUCUCUUAAAGGUUCCAGAGGCUUCUCUUCUAGAAGGUUCCAGAGGCUUGUUUUCUAGAAGGUUCUAGAAACUUCUCUCUAGAAAGUUCUAAGGAAUAUGUCCCUAACAUCACCCCCUCCUUUAGCUUCGAGGUCUCUGAGAAGCAAUGUUGUUGAUCAGUACCAAUGCAAGAAAAUGAAGAUCUGUCGCAUAACUUCUGCUAUGAACUCCACCUAUUGUUCACGAGGCAAGUGGUUCAUCGACCCUUGAAGCCAACGGUAGUGGCCUACGCCUUCGACUACUGACCAAGCAUGAACUUCCGUGUCCUCAUUGUAAAAUUGUCUUGCAAACACGCCUUCUGGUUGACCAUCGUAAGUAGGCUCGAUCUCAAAUACGAUCACCAGUGAUCGGUUACUCGAUAUCCUCCAUCGUCAUCGUGGUACAUGUAGUUCUUCAUCUCGGGGUCGCCUUCGUGAGCUACUCGGUUGCGAUACUCUGACUGGCAUAGUAUCUAUUUCUUGGCUAUCCAUAUCAAAAGACCAAACUACGAUCUAUCUUGGAGAAAAUAACUACAUCAACUAUGAAUUUUGCUGGUGCUCUCCCCUUUUCUUAUAUUUUUGGGAGAACAAGCUUCAGAAAGAAGCUAUCAUCAAAUUGAUUUAGGUUUAUCGGGAUGUCGUUGAUGAAACACCUGUACCUUUUGUGGCGCAUUCGUAAGAUUUUCAGCUGACUCCCACGUUCGCUCAUUAAUGUCAUAGCCGCACCAAUGAACAAGAUAUUCUAACUUUCCUCACCUUCGCUGUGAAUCCAAUACCUUUUCAACCUUGUAUUCUUCGUGGUUCUCGAUUUCAAUACUAGGUGGCGGACAUUGCACUCUUCCAGGAAAAGAUGACUCUCGAUAAGGUUCCAAUAGAGAAACAUGAAAGACUGGAUGUACCUUCAUAGAAGCCGGUAACUCCAGCCGGUAUGCCAUUGGAUUAAUUUGCUUCUGGAUGAUAAAUGGUCCCAAUCUUCGAUAGUCCAACUUAUCACAUGGUCGCUUGGUCUUGAUAUUUCGUCGAAGAAGCCAGGCUUUGUCUCCAACUUUGAAAGUAGGUGCUGGAUUCCGAAAUCUAUCUGCAGACGUCUUAUAGGAUUCUUGAGCGGAUUGUAAUUGAAGCUUCAACAUAGUUUGAAGCUCUGAUAGUUGCUUCGCAAAUCCUUCAGCUGCUAGAUUGUUAUUUGUUGACGGACUCAAUAAAUCAAGCUUCGGAUGAUACCCAUAGUUAGAAAAGAAUGGUGUUUGUUGAGUCGACGCAUGGAGGAUGUUGUUAUAUGCAAACUCGGCUAGCGGUAGAUAUGCAGUCCAAUCGUCUUGCUGAUAGUUGAUGCUGCAUCGUAAGUACUGCUCCAAGACUUGGUUCACCCGUUCCGUUUGGCCAUUAGUUUGAGGAUGAAAAGCUGAAGAAAGCUUGAUAUCCACCUUCAAUAUCUCAAAGAGAGAUCUCCAAAACUUUGACACGAACUGGGUACCUCGAUCUGAUAUGAUAUCAUCUGGUAGUCCAUGAUAUAGAUACACAUUAUCGAGAAAGAGUCUUGCUGUGACUUCACUGGACGAUGUCUUCUUACAAAGAACAAAGUGUGCCAUCUUCGUAAGCUGAUCUACCAUGACAAAGAUGCUGUCAAAUGAGUUUGAUGAUGGCAAGUCCGUGAUGAAGUCCAUAGAAAUUGAAGACCAUGGUCGACGUGGAAUUGGCAAUGGAUGUAAAAGUCCAUAAGGGCGAUGCCGAGGAUUCUUGGAUCUUGAACAGAUGUCAAAAGAGAGGACAAAAUCUUUCACAUCCUUCCACAUUUGAGGCCACCAAAAAUCUCGAGAAAUAAGCUCCAAGGUCUUGUUGAAUCCAAAAUGUCCUGCAGUUGGUUUAGGAAGUCAGCAUCAAAUGAUAUAAUAGUAGCACAAAGUUGAAAUCUCUCUGGCUUCAAUAAUGUUGUACAUUGUUGAUCAAACGCUGCUUCUCCAACCUUUGGUACAGGAUACGAUCUCCUUGAUAAAGCAUCGGAUAGUCCUUGCUGCCUUCCAGGUCGAUAAGUGAUAACAAAAUCGAAUCUAGAUAGCGACAUAUUCCACCGAGCUUGACGUCGUUUUAAAACUCGAGCCAUCAUGAAAUACUCCAAAUUCUUGUGAUCCGUAUAUACGGUUACUGGAUGUGCAGCUCCUUCAAGAAAGUGACGCCAUUCUUCGAAAGAAUCCACUAUAGCAAGAAGUUCGUUAUCGUAGAUCUCAUAAUUGAUUUCAAUAGCAGAGAACUUCCGAGAAUAGAAUUCAACUGGAUGGAGCUUCUUAUCUUCACUCAUUUGUGAAAGCACAACUCCCAAAGUAAAAUCUGAAGCAUCAGUUUCUAAAUAGAAGGCCUUUGUAAAGUCUGGAUGUACCAAAAUUGGAGCUGUAGUAAAUGCUGUCUUCAAAUCUUGAAACGCCUUCUCCGCUAAAGGUCCCCAUUCCAACUUAUCCUUGCAUGUUAAUCGAGUGAGAGGAGCAGCAACUUGAGAAUAAUUCUUGAUGAAGAUCCGAUAGAAGUUAGCAAAACCAAGAAAGCAUUGUACGUCUCUAACCAUCUUUGGAACCUCCCAAGACAUGAUUGCUUCUACUUUCUUGGGGUCCAUCUUCAAACCUUUUGUAGUCGCAAUGAAUCCCAAAAAUUCCAUCUCCGUCUCGUGAAAUAAAUACUUUUCUAAUUUGGCAUAUAGUCCUCGCUUGCGUAGUUUUUCCAAGACCAAACGAACAUGCUCCUCAUGCUCUUCCUCGUUUUUAGAGAAUAUUAGAAUAUCGUCCAAGUAGAUGACAAUAAAAUCGUCGAGGUGUUCUCAAAAGAUGUCAUUCAUCAUAUGUUGGAAAAUCGCUGGAGCAUUGGUAAGACCAAAAGGCAUGACAUUAUAUUCGAAAUGACCAUACCUUGUACGGAAUGCUGUCUUCCACUCAUUUCCUUCUUUGAUUCGUACGAGAUUAUAAGCUCCCCUUAGAUCAAUUUUGGUAAAGAUCCUCGCACGUCCAAGUUGUUCUAAGAGACUAGAAAUCAAGGGUAAUGGGUAACGAUUUUUCUUUGUUACCUUGUUGAGGCCUUGAUAGUCCACACACAUCCGUAAUGAUCCAUCUUUCUUCUUCACAAAUAAGAUGGGUGCUCCAGCUGAUGAUUUUGAAUGACGAAUGAAGUUCUUGGCUAGAUUUUCGUCGAUGUACUUUCGUAACUCUGCCAACUUCGUUUGCGAUAGAUUGUAGAUUGGGCCAAAAGAUGGUUGUGCUCCUUCUUGCAAGUCUAUGGCACAAUCAUAUGGUCGGUGUUCCGGUAGUAUGUCGGCGUUCUUCUUUUGCAACACGUCUUCAAAAUCUUUAUAUUGCUCUGGUAUACUUGCUGUUGAGAUCUUCUCCUCGGUAGUUGGAGCCGCAUAAAUGACAAAUGGAGUGCCUUCCUUAGAUGAUCUUAUAAACGCUCUUGCUCCAAUGAAUAAGGAUUUCUUUUUUCGAGGUUUUUUACUAGGUUUUUUCUUGGGUGGUUUUGUGGGAAAAGUCAUCUUCCGCAACCUCCAAUCUAUCAAUGGAUUAUGUUUUUCCAACCAAGAAAGACCAAGAAUAAUAGGAUUUGAUGGGGUUCUAAUAAUAUUAAAAAUAAUAUAACUACUAUGGUCUUUAAACGUUACUUCUAUAGGUUUUGAUUCAUGGGUGAUGCUACCAGACAAUAAAGGUCGCCCAUCUAUGACCUCAACAUGAACAGGUUUUGGUUUUUGUACUAAAGGGAUCUUAUGACGCUUUGCAAAUUCUUCGUCUAAAAAACAAGCACAUGUUCAUGAGUCUAGUAGUGCUAAGGUUCUCAGUUUUUGAGGGCCGAUAAACAGAGGGAUUGUAAAACAAAGUGUAGGUUGGGCAGAAAGAAAGGAACCUGAUUGUUAUUGGGAUAUUUCAUUGUCCAGCCGCACGGUUCCUACUGUGGUUGGACAUCCUCGUUUUCCUGAACAAAUACUCCCCUAGUCUUGACUAUGCCUCGAUUUUGCUUUUUGAGGCAGUUUCCGACUUUGUGGCCUUCUCCACUGCAAUACAAGCAUAAAUUUUCCUCCAUACGUCACUUUUUUCUUCUAUAGUAAGAGAUUUUAUAUGUACCGCAUCAAUUUGCAUGUCUUCCACCUCUGAAUGCGAAUUCACACCGCUUGCCAACAUAGUUGGAGCAUGGCGAAUUGUAUGUUGUCUUGAGCGUUGAUCUUGGCGACGUUGGAAUAGGCGAUUAUCGCACUUCACUGCUUGGCUAAUGGCUUCAUUGAGCGUUCGUGGAUCAGGAAGAAUUAACAGCAAUUUCUUCACUUCAUCUCUUAAACCCCAAUAGAAUUGACUCAUCAACGCUUCUUCAUCCCAAUUGAUGUCGCAUACUAAUUGCCUGAAAUCCGAAGCAUAUACUGAUGUAGAACGCAUCCCUUGUCGUAGCGACCGGAUCUUUGUUGUAGCCCAUCGAACCUUAUCGUGUUCACCAAAUGCUUUCGCAAAUGCUUCCAAAAAGGUUUCGAAGUUGUUUAAUAUAGAUGAUCGUUUCUCAAACAAAGGAGCAAACCAUAAUAGAGCUUGUCUCGUAAGUAAGGUUCCAACAAGCUCAACACGUGACUCCUCCAUUGGAUAUCGUUCGGGCUAUAAAACUGUUAUCAACCUGAUUUGAUUGACGAAUCCUUGAAACUUAGAACGUGUUCCAUCAAACUUAUCUGGAAGGCUAACUCGAAGCUCCUUAUUUUGUAGAACUAGUGGUUCUUGUCGAACCUGAGGUAAAGUUGUUUCUCUAAGUGCCGAAAUUUGAGGCUGGUGUAGUUUAGAUUGUGCUAUCCCAGAUACUCCAUCAUUAUGAAGCCUUGCCACUACUCCUUCAAUCUUUGCAGUUCUUUGUGAUAACAUAGCGAGGGCAUUCAUAAUAGCAUCUAACUUAGACUCCGAACUUUCUGUCAUACUAAUGUCUUGACCUCCGGCCAUUCUAAAAGAAGGACAAAAAUGACCCUAUAAGAGGCAAUAUUGGUUUAUAGGAGGGUAAUCCACAACCUAUAAAACGCCUUAAGAAUUUCAAGAAGAGGGAUAAUCCACUCUCUCCAAGAAGAAUAAGACUCCAAUAUUGUAACAGAAGAAGUAUCAGUUUAGAGGAGGGUAAUCCGCAACCUCUAAAAAAUGCUAGUAUACCUUCAAGUAGAGGGGUAAUCCACACUCUACUAAGAAAGAACUAGCUCUGAUAUCUCAAGUUAGUGUAGUCUCGACAAACUGUCACGGACACAAAAUACAGACUUGAAAUCUAACAAGAAGUUCAAGAAGAAGUGACAGAACUAGAUUAAACAGAUGAGUACAAGAACAAUACCAAAAAGGUGAGCUAGAACUCCAAGAGAUGUGUUGUCGAGACUGAAGAACUCUUCAGCCUUGAUCCCUAUAUAUACUCCUACUUAGGAAGCUUCUCGAGCUACUUCUAUUAAUUAGGAAGCUUCUAGAAGGUUCCAGAGGCUUCUUUUCUAGAAGGUUCUAGAAACUUCUCAAGCUACUUCUAUUAACUAGGAAGCUUCUAGAAAGUUCCAGGGGAUUCCUUUCUAGAAGCUUCUAGAAACUUCUCUCUAAAAGGUUCCAGAGGCUUCUCUUCUAGAAGGUUCCAAAGGCUUGUUUUCUAGAAGGUUCUAGAAACUUCUCUCUAAAAAGUUCUAAGGAAUAUGUCCCUAACAUAAAUCUUAUAAUUAUUACUUUUAAUUCUCAAAUUCUUCUUUUGAAGUUACAAAAAUCUUAGUUAUGGUUGUAAAUAACCUUUUGAGAAUCUAUUGGAUAUGGCUAUUGACUUAUAGGGAUGAAGACCUUUACUCCUUACCUUCAUCCCUCUAUACUGUAUUUUCAUCUAUUUAAAUAAGUUUGUUAGAAGUUUAGAUAUUUAUCUUAAAGUUCCAAUCUUCUCUUUAAAUCUUAUAUGAAAUAUCUAAAUUCUGUAUAAUUUAAACACUAUAAUAAAAAAAAAUAUAAAUCUCAAAAAAAUAAAUUCUUACAUCAACUCCCUUUAAAUUACUCUACUUAAAACUUUAAUAUACAUCAAUAUUUAUAAAUAAAUUAUGUUUUUUAGUUAUUUGUUACAUUUUAUAAAUAAUUAUAAUAUAAAAAUGCUUCUAGUCCCCUCGCCAUAUAUACAAAUCACAAGAACCUUGAGUACUUCAUAUCAGCACCAAUUUUAAAUUAUUGGUGAGCAUAUUGAAACAUGUCUUUAUCAAGAUUUAAUUUCAAGAUUACUUACCAUCUCAAAAACAACAAGGUUCAUAAGAUACCUUCUCUAAACAGUAUUACAAGAAAUACAACUAUAUAGUGAAGAAAAAUAAUAUAUGGAUGUUAUUAUAGAAGAGCCUAGUAAAAAUAUAUAAUAGAAAAAUAAAGAAAAAAUAUAAAAAGGAAAUAAAAAUUUUUGUCUUAAUGUUAUUUUUUUGUAUAAAGAACUUCUAUUUAUUUUGUAGAUGCAUGAAUAAGCCAAAUCAAAGUAAAUGACAUAAGAAGUUGAUAUAGGAAUAUUAAAAAGAGAGUUAAAAAUAAGAUAAAACAAAACUUACUUCAAAUUAUUAAAAACUGAUACUUUGAUACGAUCAACUAUCAAUCUUGGUCAAAAUCAAAACCUAAGGCAUAAAACCAUGCUUAUAUGGUAAUUUUGUAGGUUCUUUGAUAAAUAAAAGAGUGUAAUUUAAUAAUAGACUUGAAGAGAGAUUUUUAGAUAUUAAUUUUAUUCAAUUGAAUUAAUAUUAAAUUUUUGAGAGAUUUUCAAAAGUUAGUAAUAUUCUCAAUUGAUUUAAAUUUUGAGAAAUAACAAUAUGUUUACAAAUUUAAUAGGACGCCACUUUUGUGAUGUAUGUAUAAGUGAAUUUUAAGAAAUAUUUUGAUAUACUAAUUAUGAAUGUGUGUGUAAAUUUUGAGGUCAAUCAAAUGAUUAGAUCAAAGUAUGUGAAGAUUUUUGUAGGUUGAGAUCUUAGAACUUGGAGUUUGAGGAUUAAUGAGAAUUUUCAAGAUCUUUAGUGAUUUUUCAAUUAGAUUGAAGUGAAUUUCUUUUUAUGGAUACUAGACUUGAUUUCCAAGGUUUAGAUGAAAUUUGAGAAUAAUUCAAUAGUUCAAAGAAGAGAUAUUGGUAUUGAGAGUUUAACAUUUAGGUUGGAGUAGGAGGUCGCCCAAAAUCCAAUUGGAUUAUUUUGCAUAUUACUCAAUUGAUAAGUACGAUCAAUUUCAACUUUCUUAUACUUGUUUCUAACUAAAAUAUUAGGAGUGUAUAAAUUUUGAAUUGAUAUCAAUAGUUUGAUCAUUAGUUGUUGAUAUUCUAAUUUGCUAUAGGAUUUCAUUUAGGGUUUGUCUACAAUUUGGUUAGGACUUAAGAUUUGGUGUAGGAUUUGGUUAGAAUUAGGAUUUUCUUAGAUUUUGAUUUAAAACUUGACUAAAAAUUAAUUAAAUUUUGUCUAGGAUUUGUCUAAGGUUUAGAAUUUCAUUAAGAUUUUACUAGGAUUUGAUAUAUGAUAUGAUUAAGAUUCAAUUAGGUUUUCAAUUAGAAUUUAAUCUAAGAUUUAAUAUAGGUUCAAUUAAGGUUUUAUAUAAGAUUACAAUAAAAUUUCUAUUUUUAUUAUUUCUUUAAGAUUUUUAUUUCUAUAUAUUUUUAAGAUUUAUUGUUAUUUUUUUUUAAAAUUAGUAUAGGAAUUCUUUGUAUUUCUUUUAUAACUUCUUUCAAAUUUAUUUUAGAUUCGUCAAAUUUUAAUUAAGAUUAUUAAGGUCUAUUUAAGAUUAUUUAAGAUUCUAUUAAAUAUGGUAGGACUUUUCUUACAUGUUUAUUUAUUUUUUUUAAUUAGGCAUCCAAUAUUUUUUCAAGCAAGACCAUAUAUAAUAUGACAAUAUUUUUAUCUUACAUCAAAAGAAAGAAAUGUAACUUUUUAUCAACAAAGUACAGUCUUCUUGAAGCAAAAGUAUUUUCAUCUUUAAGUAAUAAAAUCAAUAUUAACUAUUUACUCAGCCUUUGUUAAGUAAAUUCUAUCAAAUAUGUUCUUUGAUUUUUUUGUUCAUGAUAUCAAGAAUAUAUUGUUUAAGUCUCAUGAUACUUCCAAUUAUAAGUUCAAAAAUAUUCUAUUCUAUUUUGAGAAAUAAUUUUAUAUUCCAAAAGGCAAACCACAAUUAUGUGUUCUUCGGGUUUAUGAUGACUUUUCAAUAGCUAGACAUUUUAGAUAUAAUAAGACUUUGGAACUAAUAUCAAGAGAUUUUUGGUGGCUUUAAAUUUGGAAGGAAACUAAAGACUUUAUACAAUCAUUUGAUAUUUUUUCAAGAUCAAAAAAUCCUUGUCAUUGUCCUCAUAGACUUCUUCUAUCAUUAUCUAUUCUAGAGUAACUAUGAUAUUUUAUUUUCAUGGAUUUUAUUAUAAAUAUUCUUAUCUUAAUUUUGUAUGAUUUUAUGUUUAUAAUUGUGGAUUGUUUUAUCAAGAUAGCUCAUUUUGUACCAUAUAUAAAAUAUAUCACAAGUGAAGAAACAACCAAGGUUUUUCUUGACAACAUCCAUUGCUAUUAUGAAUUAUUGAAAGAUAUUAUAUCAAAUAGAAGGAUUAAAUUUGUGUGAAGAUUUUGGAGAAUUUUUUUUAAUAUUUUAAAGUAGAUAUAAAGCUUUUUUUUGCUUUUCAACUUUAAAUUGAUAGACAGAAAAAAUGAAUGAAUCAAAAUUUAGAGUAGUAUUUAAAGUGUAUCAUUGAAUAUUAUCAAGAUGAUAUGAUAAUUAUUUUAUUAUUGGCAUAGUUUGCAUACAAAAAAUUGAUACAUUCUUUUAUUCAAUUAAUACUUUUUUUAGUCUAUUAUGAUUAAUAUCUAUGAUUUGGUACUUUUGACUUUUGAAAAGUGAAUAUUUUAAGGUAGAAGAUUUGAAAAAUUAAUUAUGAGAGCUAUAUAAAACAAUAAAAGCAUAAUUAAAGAAAGCAUAAGAACCACAAAGGAUCAAUGUAAAUGCCUAUAGUAAGGAAUAAUCACAAUUUAUCAUAGGUUAAUAGAAAUGGCUACUUUGUCACAAUAUCAAGAUUAUUUAUCUUUAUGAUAAGUUGAACUAUUGUAGGAUUAGAUCUUUUUCUAUUUGAAAAUGAGUCAAUUCUAUUGCUUAUCAAUUACAUCUAAUACUGUUGUAUUACAUGAAAUCUUACUUGAGAUUGUAUUGAGCAUCUGGUGGUUGAAGUUGUCAAGGACAAGAACAUCAUAAAAAAAAAAAAAAAAUGAGACUUCUCUCAAAGAAAGAUGACAAAAUAGAAAUAACUUGAUAUGUAUAUUAAAAGAGAAAUUGGAAUGGCUAUUGCCAAAAAUCAAGAAAAUUAAAGCCUCUUCAAACUAGACAGGAAGCAAGAAAGAAAUUGAUAAGAGUGAAGAAGGCUUCAUUCUUGUCUCUAUAUAUACUAUCUAAUAAGGGAUCACAUGGCGAUAUUCUAUAGGACCUCCAAUAUGUGUUGACUCUAUAUGAUACAUGCCUUGACUUAUAAGGCAAGUUAUUUUUACAUGUGCGCCACAUAGUUAGCUUGGUCUUUAAGCUAACAACAAGUGUGGCACAUGACCAACUUGUUGACCACGUUUAUAAUCAAAAAAGUCAAUUACAGACACCUAUAAAGUCAAAGCAACGUCUAUACAACUUUUAGGAAGCUUCCAUAGCAAAUAUUUUAGAAUUAACUUAUUUUUACCUAUUUUUACUUAUUUCUACCUAUUUAUACAUGCAAUUACUGGCUUACAUGCAUAUGUCUGUCACAUUAUCCUCUCUUCUAGUGACGAGUUCCACGAGGAGCGGUCAUCAUAUGUUGAGAAAAUCUAUGAUGCAACGAAUUGUAUUUGUCACAUAAUCUGAUCUUUGUUCUCUUCGAAGAUGAUUGAUAGGGCCUCUCAACCAUCAGUAGUAUCCCAUAUCAGGGCGAGAAGACCAUCCAAUUAUUUAAUCAUUGUUGAGGCCUUUAUAACUUCCUUCGAAUAAAACAUUUGGAACACCAUCAGCAGUUCUUUCUACUUCUAGUAAAAUCACCAAACAUCAGGAGUUCCUUCGAAGAUCGUGAUACCAAAUGCAUUGUAUUUUGCCAUCUAUUCAAGGAAGAACAUGUCGUUCUUCAAGAUCUUCAUCUCGAUUGCAUCAUCUUAAAGGUUGUGACAAUCGUAAUGUCUCGUCCGAUAGAUCAGCAAACGAAGGCUAUUGAGUCAAAUCUGCUAGUUAUUGCUUCACCAUCUCCUGAGCGUCACAACUACAAAGAAGCUACAAACAAGGAUUGAAAGUAAAAUGUUAUCUUGUUUAGAUCUUGUUUCCUUUAUAAGGAAGGAUUUCAUCUUGAUUUUCAUAGAUGUCGGUAAUAAAAAGCCUCCACCGUCUUUGCUACAUUUGCAAGAUUCUUCAUUGCCUCCUAUGUGCAUUCACUAGUAUCAUAUUUGUGCCAAUGGACAAGAUAUUCCAGUUUAUUUUGGUGCCGCCUUGAAUCUAAGACUUCUUCCAUUUCAAACUCUUCAUUAUUAUCUACUUCUAUAGGAGAAGGUGGAGCUUGUCUUCUUCUUGCUCUAUCCACUGUCUUCUUUGCUUCAAGAAGAGACACGUAGAAUACUAGAUGGAUUUUUAUUGACUCCAAUAGGUGUAAAUGAUAUGCAACUGGAUUGAUUUGUGCAGGAAUAGAAAAUGGUCCAAACCUUCAAUAGUCUAACUUGUCAUGAGGACAAGUGGUCUUGAUAUUGUGACGAAGUAACCAUACCUUAUCACCCAUGUGGAAUGGUGGUUGUUCCUUUUGAUAGACAUCUGUAUUGACCUUUUGUUGUUCUUGAGCUUCUUCUAACUAUACUUUCAUCGUUGCAUGUAGCUCUGACAAAUGAAUUGCCAAAUCUUUUGCAGCAGGAUUAUCAACUUUUGAAAAAUCAAAAGUAUCAAGUCGUGGAUCAUAACCAUAAUUAGCAAAGAAAGGUAUUUUUUUUGUAGAACAAUGUACUAUUGUCGUGUUGUAGUUUGGCUACUAUAUGAAAAUAAUGUAAUUAUGUACUUAAUAUAUAAUUCAUUAAGUAACAUUAUCAGAGCCAUGUUAGUAGAUUCUAAUUGAUUGUAGAAUAUAAUUUGAUUAUUACCUUGAGAAGAGGUUGUUUAAAAAGAUUACUAUAGAAUUUUCAUAACUUUAAUUUUUUUUUUGAUAGUGGGUUUUAAGAUUGGUUUGAGUGUAUAGUAACUUCUAAAUAUUUAGAGUCACCUUUGUUAGACAUUGGUGACAUUUGAAAACUUAUUUUUAUUCUUUUAUUUGGUGUUUAGAAUAUAAAUUAUGUAAAUCUUAUAAAAAAAAGGAUUGAAGAAGGAUUUUGGUAGCAAAGGGAGUAAUUAGGGCACUAAUAUAGAUGAAUGGAGAUGGAUGAUGAAAAUCUCUAUUCCUAUUGGUCAAAGAUCAUGACUAAUGGGCUUUGAGGAGGCUUCCUAAGGCCAUAUUAGGAAUUAGGAUUAGCUUUUUGCAUCCAUUUGAACUUUGAAGGCUAUGGUCAGUAAGUUUAGGUUUUUGGCUAUAAAAUUGGUACAAGUUUUGUAUGAUUUGGAGUUUAUAUAAAGGAGAUAUAGGCGCUCAAAGUUAAGGUGUUGAUUUGGGAGCUACUGUCACUCUUUUUGGCAUAAUGCAAGCAUACAAAGAGCAAUUGAGGAUCCAUGAUUGCAACUAAAAACAAUACUUUUGCAGCUAUACUUUUCACAUACCGCUUUUUGGAUUCUAAGUCGGUAUGAAGGAGUUAUUGGAUUUUAAAAUCAGUGCAUGUAAUCUAUAGGUAGUAAAUGACUCGAGUUAUUGAAGAUAGAGUCAUAAAAAAUUAAAAUUUAAAGAUCCGUGAUGAAAUUCAGAGAAACAAAAGACCAUGGUUGUUCUAGAAUGGAUAAUGGCUGAAGACGUCCAUAGAAUUGAUGACAAGAUGUUUUUGAUCUCGAGCAAACAUCAUAAGAUUGUACAAAAUCUUUGACUGCUUUCCACAUUUGGAACCACCAAAAGUCCUUGGAUAUUAGUUUCAAAGUUUUAUUGUACCCAAAAUGUCCUAUUGCUCAAAAGUCAUGACAAACUUGAAGAACACGUAAUCGAGCUUCACAUUUUGGAACAUAUAGGCAUCACUCAAAAUAUAAUAGAUUCUUCUUGAAUUCAAACUUAGAAGUAUUAUGAGACUUUGAAUGAUUUCUCUUAAUAUCACGAAUAAGAAGAUCAGAAGACAUAUUUAACUGAACUUGCUUAAUAAAAGUUGAAUCAAUAGUUGGUGUUGAUUUCAUUGCUUGAUAAUGAAGAUGCUUUGACUUUAAGAGAAUUUUCCAUUGUUGAUCUAAAGUAGCAUCUCCUUCCUUUGGUGGAAGGUAAGAUCGUCUAAAGAGUGCAUCUGACAAACCUUAUUGUUUUCUUAGUCAACAAGUGAUCUUGAAUUUGAAUCUUGACAAAGACAUUCUCCAACGAGCUUGGCGAUGAUUCAAAACACAUUCUAACAUAAAAUAUUGAAGGUUUUUGUGAUCUGUAUACACUGUGAUUGGGCUAGAAGCACCAUCUAGAUAAUGGUGCCAUUUUUGAAACGAAUCCAUGAUUGCAAGAAGUUCUUUAUCAUAGAUCUUGUAGUAGAUCUUGGGUGCUGAAUUUUUUUGGAAUGAAAAGCUAUUGGAUGAAGUUUAUCAUCUGUUCCCAUUUGUGACAAUAUGGCACCUAAAGCAAAGUUUGAUGUGUUUGUUUACAUAAAAAAUGGCUUAGAAAAAUCGACAUGAUAUAAGAUUGGUGCAGAAACAAAAGAUGUCUUCAAAGCUUCAAAUGUUAGUUCUGGUUCUUGAUUCCAUUGAAGUUUGUCUUUACAAGUCAAACAUAUAAGUGGAGUUGCAACUUGAGAGAAGUCUUUGAUGAAGAUCCGAUAGUAAUUGGCAAAUCCCAAAAAGUAUUUGACAUCUCUUACAAUUUUUGGAAUCUUCCAAUCCAUAAUAAUUUGAAUUUUCUUAGGAUCCAUCAUAAGUCCAUUAUUUGAAAUGAUGUAUUCUAAGAAGUCAACUUGAGUUGUGUGAAAUACAUACUUUUCUAUCUUGGCAUAGAGUCCCGCAUUUCUUAGUUUUUGUAAUACAUGAUGAACAUGAAGUUCAUGUCCUACUAUAUUCUUAGAAUAGAUUAAGAUGUCAUCUAGGUAACAGAAAAUAAAAUCAUCUAAAAACUUCCAAAAGACAUUAUUCAUUAGAUGUUAGAAUGCUGUUGGUGUAUUUGUAAGUUCAAAAGGCAUGACAUUUUUGGGGUAGAGAGAACUUACUUUAAGAAAAUGUUAGACUUCUGGCUGUUACUAAUCAUUCAAUCAAGCUUCAAAAUAAAGAAAGCCAUAAGUUUAUAUAUAAACUUUCCCUUUUGAGCAAUUACAUCAAAUACACAAGCCUCAAGUAACAAACAACACCCAAAAUAUGAUAAAUCCUUUAAAACCUUGUACAUCCUUAUGUGGAAGUUUUUCCGAACUUCAAAAGCUCGUAUCUUCAAAUCCGACCUUCCAAACAAACUUAAAUUUUAUAUGAGGUACGGAUAUAUUCUUAUUACCUUCUACAACAAAUUUCAACUGCAAAUUCAUUGCGGAUCUUGAGAUAUCUUGAAAAUCCUAACAGCCGCUUCAAACCCUUAUCUUUAUACACUCGAGUACAAUGUUCUUUAUAUCUCACAAAAUAUAAAUUCAAAUGCCACGAAAUUUGUAUGUAUAGGUUCUUAACACAAAACUUUAUAUUCUUCAAAAAAUUUGAGCCAAAAAUUUGUCUGAAAACUCAAGUUAUGGCUCCAACCAUUACUAUAAAUAAAACCGCUCACUCACUGCCUUUGAUUUGGAAGCGCCACCUUCAACUUCUUAUAACUCCUUCACAUGAACUCCAAAAGCAAUAAAUUUUUCUUGAAAGAUGUAGGCCUUAAAAUUGCCAUUCCAUUCACCUCUUUCGAUCUUCAAAAGUUGCUAUACAAUUCCUCGUAUCCUAAAAAGAAUAACAAUAUAUCUUAAAUUAACACCUUAACUUCAAAUGACUAUAACUUCUUCACCCUAACUCCAAAUCCUCUAAUUUUUAAACAAAAAUUGUACCGCAAAUCCUAAAAUUUACAAUCUUAGCUUUUAAUUUCCAAAUUCCUUCAUUGAAGUCGCCAAAAUCCUUAUUAAGGUCGUAGGUAGCCUCCUCAAAGCCCACUGGGUAUAGUAUUCGACCAAUAGGGAUGAAGUUCAAUAUUCCUUGCCUUCAUCCGACCGUGUCUUGCUUUCAUCUCUUCCAAUUAGCCUCCUACUAGUUUAGAUUUUCAUCUUUAGGCUUCCACCUUCUCCCAAGGCUUCAUACUAAACAUUUAGGUCCCAUAUAUAUAUUUUUUUAAUGUCAAAAUCAAAACAAAUAAAGAAACAAAGUAAAGUUUCUUAUACCAACUCCUUUUAAUUUAAUCUACUAGCCACUCUAACAUGCAUCUAGAUUUAUUAACAUAUAAUAUAUUCUAUCUAAUUUUUACACACUGUAAGUAUUUAUAGUACGAUAUUAUUAUAUUUGAAAUAUCCAUACCUUGAUCAAAACGCAGUCUUCCAUUCAUCUCCUUCUUUGAUGCGUACUAGAUUGUAUGUACCUCAUAAAUCUGUUAUUAUAUAGAUCUUAGUUUAAUUUAAAAGAUUAAGAAGUCCAAAUAUCAAAGGUAGCGAGUACCUAUUUUUGAUAGUGAUUUUGUUGAAUCUUCCAUAAUCGAUAUACAUCCGCAAUGAUCUGUCUUUUUUCUUCACAAAUAAAAUUAGAGCUCUUGCAGGAGAUUUGGAAUGGCAUAUGAAAUUCUUGGCCAAAUUCUCUUCAAUAUACUCCUUGAAUUUAGCCAACUCAUUUUGAGAUAAAUUGUAGAUUGGUCCAAAUGGCGAUUGUUCUCUUUCUUGAUUGUCAAUUGAGUAUUCAUAGGAACGAUGUUUUUGAAGAGUAUCCACAUUCUUCUUUUCAAAUACAUCUUAAAAAUCUUGAUAUUGGCUUGAAAUGCCACUUGAAGUCUUUCCACCAGUAGAAAUAAGUGUGGCAUAAAUGACAUAAGCUGAUCCUUCUUUUGCAGCAUGCAAGAAAGCUCUUGUACCUAUAAAUAUAGGUUUAAUUAUAUUAGACUUAUGACUUUCUAUUUGAUUAACUACGCUCUUAGUUAUAUUUUCAGAAAAGCCAAGACUACGAGAAGUCCAAUCAAUUUUAGGAAUAUAUUUUUCUAGCCAUGAUAAAUCUAAAGUGACUGGAUUAGAAUGAGAUCUAAUGAUAUUAAAUAUUAGAAAGCUACUAUGACCAUUAGUUGCUAUUUCUAUAGAAAGGAUUUCAUGAGUAACAUCUCCUGAAGCCAACGGAUGACUAUCUAUGACUUCUACAUGAACAGGUUUAGUUUUCUUCACUAAAAAUAUGCUAUGUCUUUUAGCAAAUUCUUCAUCUAAGAAACAUGCUAAGGCUCCUGAAUCUAGCAAGGCAAAGGCUUUGUGAUGUUUAGGUUCUAGAAUAACAUUUAGCGUAAAAUAUGGAGAAGGUUUUGAGGAGAGGAUAGGACCUUCUCUAGGCAUUCUACAAGGUUCCAGCUACACGUUCUCUAUUGUAGCUGGACAAAUUUAUUUUUCGACAUCCUAUCUUCUUUGUUCGCCAACUAAUCAUUUUAUGGUUGCAUCGCUUCUUUGGGCAAUGUUAAGCAGUGUGUUUAGAUUUUUCACAAUAUAAGCACAAUUCUUCCUGACAACAACCAUUCUUUUCUUGCUCAGUAAGAGAUUUGAAAUGUACUGCAUUAAUUUACAUAUCCUCUAUUUUUGAAUGUAUGUAUUAAAGAGAUGUUGGUGUUGCCAUUGAAUUAUAGUAACAUUGAGGUCCACUUAUACGAUUCUCAAAUUAGAAUUCAAUAAGACGAUUAUCAUACUUCAUAGCAAAGUCAAUUGCUUGACUCAAUGUUUGAGGAUCACGUAAGUUGAGCAUUAAUUUUUUUUACCUCAUAUUAUAAUCCAUAGAAAAAUUGGCUAAUAAAUGCAGCAUCAUCCCAUUUAAUAUCAGUUGUAAGUUGUAAAAAUUGUGAAGCAUACAAGGUUACUGAUCGAUUGCCUUGUCGCAAAAUACAAAUUUUAUUGGUUGCAACACGAAUUGCAUCAUGUUCUCCAUACAUGGAUCAAAACUCCUCUAAAAAAGCCUCUAGAUUAUCCAAUAUUGGAUCUUGUCAUUCAAAAAAAGAUGAAAUUUAUGAUAAUACUGAACUUGAAAGAAGCGUAUUAAUGAAUCUAAUAUGCGAUCUUGGAAUUGGAUAGUUUUGGGAUUGAAGUUCAAUCACAAGUUGUACUUGAUUGAUAAAUCGUCUAAACUUUGAUCUAGUGCAAUCAAAAUUCUUGAAUAGGACAAUUCUUAGUUUUCUAACAUUGGAAAGGCAUUCCACAAUAAGAAAAGGGACAUGAUUUGGUGCAAAUUUUGAAGCAGCUCCAAUCAUUUCUAUAUCUUCACUUCUUGCCAAUCUUCUUGCUCUUUGAGGUGGUAAAUUGAGUUGAUGCAUCGUAAGUAUUAAUUCCCUCAAUUUCUCUUGCAUUUGUGCCACUAUAUUCUGUAUUUUAGCAAGUUCUGCCAUGAGAACACUUAGAAAAAGAAAAGAUAUCUAAUAUCGUUCAAGAGAAAUAGAAGAGAGGACUUGAAAACAAAAAAAAUACUAAAGACAAUAUCAAUUUUGAAGAGGGUAAUCUGUAACUUCUAAUAUGUUUAUAUCUUAUCAGGAGAAAUGGGUAAUCCGCUUUUAAUCAAAAUUAGAUAAAGCUCUGAUAUUGUAAGCAUACUCUUGUCAAUCUGGUAAAGACAAGAAUAUGAUAAAAAGAAAUAAACAAGUGAGACUUCUCUCAAAGAAAGAUGACAAAAUAGAAAUAACUUGAUAUGUAUAUUAAGAAAGAAACUGGAAUGGCUAUUGCCAAAACCAAGAAAACUAGAGAUCCUUGAAACUAGUUUAGAACUAAGCAAGGAAUAUAUACUAUCUAACUAGAGGCUACAUGGCGAUAUUCUAUAAGACCUAUAAUAUGUGUUGACUAUGUAGGACACAUGCCUUGACUUAUAAGGCAAGUUUUUUAAUGUAUGGGCCACAUAGUUAACUUGGUCUUCAAGUUAGCAACAUGUGUGGCACAUGGCCAACUUGUUGAUCAUGACUCUAAUCCAAAUAGUUAAUUAAAGACACCUGUAAAGUCAAAGCAGCCUCUAUAAAGCUUUUAAGAAGCUUCCAUAGAAAAUUUUAUAGAAUUAACUUACUUUUAGCUACUUUUACUUACUUCUUCCUAUUUAUACAUGUAAUUACUGGCUUACAUGCAUAUGUCCGUGAUAGAAGGUAAAUACAAAAUUGCAACAAUAAGUUUUAAAAAAUUUUAAUAGAAUCCCAAAUUAAUCUCAAUUAAAGCUUAAUAAUGUUAAUCUAGAUUUAAUCAAAUUCAAAAGAAAUCUCAAUAAAAUUACCAAAGAAACAUUAAGAAAUUUUAUACAAUUCUAAAAAAAUUGUAAAAAAAUCAUUAAGAAAUAAUAAGUAGAUCUUAAAGAAACCUUAAAGAAAUCCACAAAAAAUCCAUGAGAAAAUUUAAAGAAAUAUUAGAGAUACUUUAAAUAAAUAUUAAAUAAAAUCUAACCAUUUAGAACUAUUUAUAUUAUAAUUUUAACUGAAAUUCUAAUGGACCUUAAGUAAAUUCUAUGUCAAAUCUUAACUAAUCUUAAAUCUCAAACUAAAUUAUAGACAAACUCCAAAUCUUAAAUCAAAUUUUAAAUAUAUCCUAAAUCAAAUCCUAAAAAAAUCCUAAAUCAUAAAUCAACCUUAAACAAAUCCUAAAAUCUAAACCCAAUCCUAGACAAAUCCUAAAUCUUAAAUUAUAUUCUAACCAAAACCUAAUCAAUUCAAACCAAUCCUAAAGUAGAUUAAAGCUCCAAUAUCUAUUGAAUAAACUAUUGAUCUUGCUUUAAAAUUUACACACCUUUCAACUUCUUAGUUAAAAACCAGUAAAAUAAAUUUGAAGAUAAUUGAAUUUACGAAGUUGUAGAAAAAUCAUAUAUUUCACUUUGAUAUUCUCCAACCUUCUACUCCAAUUUGAAUGUUGAAUUUCUAUUACCAAUAUAUCAUUUUUGAAUUGUUGAAUUUCUUCCAAAAUUCACUUAAAGUCUUGGAAAUCAAAUCUAUUUUUUAUAAAAAAAAAAAAAAAAACAAAACAAAACUUUAAUCUAAUUAAAAAGUUCCUAAAGAUCUUAAAAAUACUCACUAAUACUCAACCUCUAAUUUUAGAGACUCCAACCCACAAAAACUUUCACACACUUUGAUCUAACUAUUUGAUUGAUCCCAAAAUUUGCACAUACAUUUACAACUAGCACAUGUUAAAGAUAAGAAUUCGAUAAAAAUAUAAUUCAGAUAAGUGAGCCUUCACUCAAAAAAAAGCAAUAAAAUAUAAAUAAACAAGUAUGUAUAUUGAAAGAGAAACUAGAAUAGCUAUUGCUAAAAGAUAAGAAAACUAGAGACCCUUGAAACUAGAUUGGAAGCUAGAAAAGAGUUGACAAGAGUGAAGAAGGCUUCAUUCUUGUCUCUAUAUUUACUAUCUAACUAGGAGCUAUGUGGCGACAUUCUAUAGGACCUCCAAUAAGUGUUGACUUUGUAGGACACAUGCCUUGAAUUACAAAGCAAGUUUUUCUACGUGUGGGCAACAUUGUUAGCUUGGUCUUCAAGCUAACAACAUGUGUGGCACAUGGCCAAUUUGUUGAUCACGUUUCUAAACCAAAAAGUCAAUUAAAGACACCUAUAAAGUCAAAGCAACGUCUAUGAAGCUUCUAGGAAGUUAUCAUACUAAAUAUUAUAGAAUUAACUUAUUUUUAUCUACUUUUACUUACUUCUAUCUAUUUAUAUAUAUAAUUAUUGGCUUACAUAAAUAUAUCCGUGAUAUUAUUCCCGCUUUUAGGGACGAACUCUACGAGGAGUGGUCAUCAUAUGUUGAGGAAAUCUAUGAUGCGACAAUUUAUAUUCGCAACAUACUUUGAUAUUUGUUCUCUUCGAAGAUGAUUGAUAAGGCCUCUCAACCAUCGAUAGUGUCCCAUACUAGGGCUGAAAGACCACCCAAUUAUUUGAUCAUUGUUGAGGCUUUCAUAACUUCCUUUGAAUAGAACGUUUGGAACACUAUCAGGAAUUGUUCCUGCCUCCAGUAAAAUGACCAAACAUCAGGAGUCCCUUCCCAAGUCAUGAUACCAAACACAUUGUAUCUCGCCAUCUAUUCGAUGAAGAACAUGUCAUUCUUGAAGAUCUUCAUCUCGAUUGCGUCAUCUUGAAGGUUGAUACAAUCGUAAUGGCUUGUCCCGUAGGUCAGCAAAUGAAGGCUCUUAAAUCAAAUCCGCUGGUUGUUGGUUCUCUAACUCUCGAAUGCCACAACUACAAAGAAGCUAUAAACAAGGAUUGAAAGUAGAAUAUUAUCUUACCUAGAUGUUGUUUCUUUUAUAAAGAAGGUUUUCAUCUUAAUUUUGAUGGAUAUUGUCGAUGAAAAGCCUCCAUCGCCUUUACUACAUUUGCAAGAUUUUUUAUUGGCUCCCAUGUGCAUUCACUAAUAUCAUAUCCGCACCAAUAGACAAGAUAUUAUAAUUAAUUUUGGCACCGCCUUGAAUCUAAGACUUCUUCUACUUCAAACUCUUCAUUAUUGUCUACUUCUAUAGGAGGAGGUGGAGCUUGUCAUCUUCUUGGUAUGUCCACUGUCUUGUAUGGUUUAAGAAGAGAUACGUAGAAUACUAGAUGGAUUUUCAUUGACUCCGAUAGAUGUAAACAAUAUGCUACUCGAUUGAUUUGUGCAGAAAUAAAAAACGGUUUCAGCCUUCGAUAGUCCAACUUGUCACAAGGACGAGUGGUCUUGAUAUUACGACAAAGUAAUUAUAUCUUAUCACUUAAGUAAAAUGGUCGUUGUUCCUUUCGAUAGACAUCCGCAUUGACCUUUUGUUGUUCUUAAGCUUCUUUUAAAUGGGCCUUCAUUGUUGUAUGAAGCUCUAACUAAUGAAUCACCAAAUCUUUCGCAUUAGGAUUAUCAACUUUUAAAAAGCCAAAAGUAUCAAGUUGUGGAUGAUAAUCAUAAUUAGGAAAGAAAGGUGUUUGUUUUAUAGAAAAAUAUAUCAUAUUAUUGUAAAAAAACUCUGCCAAUGGCAAAAGAGUUAUCCAAUCAUCUUAUUGGUAGUUAAUGAUACAUCUUAAAUAUUGCUUCAAAACUUGAUUAACAGGCUCUGUUUAUCUAUCAGUUUGAGGAUGGAAUGCUGAAAAUAGUUUUAAAUCCACUUUUAGAAUCUUAAAAAGAGUCCGCCAAAAUCUUGAUACAAAUUAAGUUCCCCUAUUUGAUAUAAUAUCCUUGGAUAAUCCAUGAUAGUGAUAGAUAUUGUCAAGAAAGAGCUUAGUUGUUUCUUCACCUGUGAUAGAUUUUGUACAUUGUACAAAAUAUACCAUCUUGGUAAAAUGAUCUACUAUCAUGAAUAUAGAGUCAUAAGAACCUGAGAUUGGAAGAUCCGUGAUGAAGUCCAUAGAAACAGAAGACCAUGGUUGUUCUAGAAUGGAUAAUGGCUGAAAAAGUCUAAAAAGUCGAUGAUGAGGAGUUUUUGAUCUUGAGCAAACAUCACACGAUUGUACAAAAUCUUUAACUGCCUUCCAAAUUUGAGGCCACCAAAAAUUCUUAGAUAUCAACUCCAAAGUCUUAUUGUAUCCAAAAUAUCUUGCUGUUUGGAAGUCAUGACGAGCUCGAAGAACACGUAAACGUGCUUCUCCUUCUACAACAUAUAGGUGUCCUUCGAAAUAGAGUAGGUUGUUUUUGAACUCGAAUUUAGAGGAGUUAUGAGAUUUAGAAGAAUUAUUCUUGAUAUCAUGAACAAGAGGCUCUGAAGACAUACUUAACUAGACUUGUUUGAAAAAAGUUAAAUCAACAAUCAAUGUUGAUUUUAUUACUUGAAGACGAAAUUGCUCCGGCUUCAAGAGAACCGUUCUUUCUUGCUCAAAAGCUACAUCUCCUUCUUUUGGUACAAGAUAAGAACGUCUAGACAAGGCAUCAGAUAAUUCUUAUUUUUUUUCUAGCCGAUAAGUGAUGAUGAACUUGAAUUUUAAUAAAGACAUGCUCCAACGAUUUAAUAUGCAUGCUGACAUGAAAUACUCGAGGUUCUUGUGAUCCGUAUAUACGGUGAUUGAACUAGAAGCGCUUUCUAGACAAUAACGCCAAUCUUGAAAAGAAUCCAUAAGUUCAAGAAGCUCUUUGUCGUGGAUCUCAUGAUUCAUUUCUGUUGUUGAGAAUUUUCUAGAAUGAAAGGCUACUAGAUGAAGUUUGUCAUCUAUUUCCAUUUGUGACAAAAUCGCACUGAGAGCAAAGUGUGAUGCACAUGUUUCCAUAGAGAACGCUUUAGAAAAAUCAACAUAAUACAAGAUUGGUGCAGAAACAAAGACUGUCUUCAAAGAUUUAAAAGUAACUUCCGCUUCUUGAUUCUAUUGGAGUUUGUCUUUACAAGUCAAACGUGUAAGUGGAGCUGCAACUCGAGAGAAGUCUUUGAUGAAGAUUCAUUAGUAGUUCGCAAAUCCCAAAAAGCAUUAGACAUCUCUUACCGUUUUGGAAAUCUUCCAAUCUAUAAUAGUUUGAACUUUCAUAAUAUCUAUCAUAGGUCCAUUAUUUGAAAUGAUGUAAUCUAAGAAAUCGACUUGAAUAGUAUGGAAUACACACUUUUCUAUCUUAGCAUAGAGUCUUGCAUCUCUUAAUUUUUGUAAAACACAAUGAACAUGAAGUUCAUGUUCUUCUGGAUUCUUAGAAUAGAUUAAGAUGUCGUCUAGAUAACAGACCACAAAAUCAUCCAAAAACUCUCAAAAAGCAUCAUUCAUUAGAUGUUAAAAAGCUGCUGGUGCAUUUAUAAGUCCAAAAGGCAUGACGUUGUAUUCAAAAUGUCCAUACCUAGUUCGAAAUGUAGUCUUCCAUUCAUCUCCUUCUUUGAUGCAUACUAGAUUGUAUGCUCUUUGGAGAUCUAUUUUUGUAUAGAUCUUAGCUUGUUUCAGAUGAUCAUGAAGUCCAGAUAUUAAAGGUGGUAGAUACUUGUUUUUUAUGGUAAUCUUCUUGAGUCCUCGAUAAUCAACACACAUCCGUAAUGAUUCAUCUUUUUUCUUCACAAAUAGAAUUGGAGCUCUUGCCGGAGAUUUAGAAUGGCGUAUGAAAUUCUUGGCUAGAUUUUCUUUAAUAUACUCCUUGAGUUCAGUCAACUAAUUUUGUGAUAAACUGUAGAUUGGUCCAAAUGGCGGUUAUGCUCCUUCUUGAAGGUCAAUUGAGCAAUCAUGGGGACGAUGUUCCGAGAGUAUAUCGACAUUAUUUUUUUCAAAUACACCUUAAAAUUCUUGAUAUUGGUUUGGAAAGCCACGUGAAGUCUUUGCACUGUUAGAAACGAGUGUGGCAUAAAUAAUAUAUGGUGAUUCUUUCAUAGCAGCAUGCAAGAAAGCUUUUGCACCUAUAAACAUAGGUUUAAUUGAACUAGACUUAUGACUCUUUACUUGAUUAACUACAUUGUCAGUUAUACUUUUAGAAAAAAUAAGAGUUCGAGAAAUCCAAUCUAUUUGAGGGUUUUUUUUUCUAACCACGAUAAAUCUAAAAUGAUUGGAUUAGAGGGAGAUCUAAUGAUAUUAAAUACUACAAAGCUAUUAUGACCAUUGAUUAUUACUUUUAUAGGAAGGAUUUCGUGAAUAAUAUCUCUAGAAGAUAAUGGAUGACCAUCUAUGAUUUUUACAUGAACAGGUUUAGUUUUAUUUACUAAAGAUAUGCUUGGUCUUUUAGUAAAUUCUUCAUCUAAGAAACAUGCUCAGACUCCUGAAUCUAACAAAAGAGAGGCUUUUUAAUAUUUAGGUCCUAAAAUAAUAUUUAAUGUAAAACAAGGAAAAGGCUCUCAGGAGAGAAUAGGACCUUUACUAGAUGUUGUGCAAGGUUCCAGCUCCAUGGUCCGUAUUGUAGCUAGACAAACUUGUUUUCUGACAUAUUAUCUUCUUUGACAUCCAUAUUCUUCUUUUUGUGGUUAUAUAGUUUCUUUGGACAAUGUUAAGCAAUUUAUUUUGAUUCUCCACAAUAUAAACAUAAUCCUUCUUGAUAAUGACGAGUCUUUUUUUGCAGAGUUAGAGAUUUGAAACGUACUGUAUCAAUUUACAUAUCCUCUACUUCCAAAUGUAUGUGUUGAAGAGAUGUUGGUGUUGCCAUUGAAUUAUAGAAACGUUGAGGUCCACUUCUUUGAUUCUCAGAUCGAAAUUCAAAAAGGUAAUUGUCGCACUUCACAGCAAAGUCAAUUGCUUGACUCAAUGUUUGAAGAUCACGUAAGUUGAAAAUUAAUUUUUUUUACCUCAUAUUGUAAUGCAUAGAAAAAUUGGCUAAUAAGUGCAACAUCAUCCCACUUGAUAUCAGUUGCAAGUUGUAAAAAUUGUGAAGCAUACAACGUUAUUGAUCAAUAAUCAUGUCAAAAAAUAUGGAUCUUAUUGGUUGCAAUACGAAUUGCAUCAUGUUCUCUACACAUGGAUCAAAACUUUGCCAAAAAAAUCUCUUGAUUAUCCAAUAUUGGAUCUCGUCGUUCAAGAAAAGAUUAAAACCACAAUAGUGCUGAACCUGACAGAAGCGUACCGAUGAAUCUAACUUGCAAUCCUGGAAUUGGAUAGCUUUAGGAUUGAAGUUCAAUCAUAAGUUGUACUUGAUUGAAAAAUCCUCGAAACUUAGAUCUGGUGCCAUCAAAAUUCUUGGAUAGGACAAUUCUUGGUUCUCUAACACUGAAAGGACGUUCUACCAUAGGAGAAAGGACAUGAUUUGGUGCAGAUGUUGAAGCAGCUCCAACCAUUUCUAUAUCUUCACUUCUUGCCAAUCUUGUUGCUCCUUGUGGUGGUAAAUUGAGUUGAUGCAUCAUAAGCAUUAACUCUCUCAAUUGUUCUUGUAUUUGUAUCAUUGCACUCUUCAUUUCAACAAGUUCUUCCAUGAUAACACUUAGAAAAGAGAAGAUGUCUAAUAUCACUCAAGACAAAUAGAAGAGAGGACUUGAGAACAAAGAAAAUGCUAAGGAUAAUAUCAGUUUAGAAGAAGGUAAUCCACAACUUCUAAUAUGCUUAUAUCUUAUUAAAAAAAAGAGGUAAUCCACUCUUACUCAAGAUUAGACAAAACUCUGAUAUUGUAGGUGUACUCUUAUCAAUCUGUCAAGGACAAGAAUUCAAUGAAAAAGCAAUUCAGACAAGUGAGCCUUCACUCAAAGAAAGGUAACAAAAUAUAAAUAAACAAGUAUGUAUAUUGAAAGAAAAAUUAGAAUGGCUAUUGCCAAAAGACAAGAAAAUUAGAGACCCUUGAAACUAAAUUGGAAGCAAGAAAAGAGUUGACAAAAGUGAAGAAGGCUUCACUCUUGUCUCUAUAUAUACUAUCCAACUAGGGGCUACGUGGCAAUGUUCUAUAGGACCUCCAAUAAGUGUUGACUUUGUAAGACACAUGCCUUGACUUACAAAGCAAGUUUUUCUAUGUGUGGACCACAUUGUUAGCUUGGUCUUCAAGCUAACAACAUGUGUGGUACAUGGCCAACUUGUUGACCACGUUUCUAAUCCAAAAAGUCAAUUAAAGACACCUAUAAAGUCAAAGCAGCAUCUAUAAAGCUUCUAAGAAACUUCCAUACCAAAUAGUAUAGAAUUAACUUACUUUUAUCUACUUUUACUUACUUCUAUCUAUUUAUAUUUGUAAUUACUAGCUUACAUGAGUAUGUUCGUGACAGCACAUCAAUAUUGUAUCUAAAAUUUACUUGUAUACAUACUACAUAACUCAAGAAGCCCUCAAAUGUAUAAAUAUAGUUUUUAUUUCUUAAAAUCUAAACUAAUCAAGAACUUUAUCAACUUUGAAAAUCCCUCCAAAAUUGAAUAAUAAUUUGAUAGAUAUUACACUAAUACUUAAAAAUCUCUUUGAAAGUUUGCUCUCAAAUGCUACUCUUUGAACUCCUAAAGAAUCUUGGAAUCAUUGUAGGUACAUGGUUUUGUCUCUUAUGAUCUAAUUUUGAUCUAGGGCGACAAUUGGUCCUCUUUGGAUAUCAAUUCAUAGCUUCUUGAGGUAAAUUUUACUUAAAUGUACUCUUAACUCUCCGUUGCAUAUAAAAAUAUUAAUUUAUUUUCCAAUCUACUUUAUUUUGCCUUAUUUAUGGCCUUAUAAAAUAAAAAAAAUCUAUUUUAUAAAAAAAACAACAAUAGUAUCAUUUAAUUUUACUAUCUUUUUGACUAUUACAUAUUUUCUAAGAUAAUUUGUUUUAAAUAUUAUUUAAAAUAAGAUCUUUUAUAAUAUAAUAUUUCUUCUCUCUUUCAUUUAUUAGCUAUAUUACAUCACGAUAUUACAAUCUAUGAAGAUCCAUCCUAUUUUCUAUAUGUCUCUUCUUAAGCCAUAUAAGAUAUUGAAUAUAUUAAAAAGAAGAAAAAUGCCACCACUUUUUAUAAAAAUAGAUAAUAAUCAAGAGUUUGAAGAAGAAGUCUUACAUUCAACGUAGCACCAAAAUAGAUUAAAAUAUCUAAUUUAUUGGCAUGGAUAUCAUAUUAGUGAAUGCAUAUGGAAGCUAACACAAAAUCAUGCAAAUACAAUAAAGACAAUAGAGGCUUUACAACAACAACAUCCAUCAAAAUCAAGAUGAAGAAUAACAAAUAUUUGCUUUAAAAGAAAGCAGAUUGAUGGCAGAUAGUAAUUCACCUUCUAUUCUUUUUUGUAACUUUUGAAUAUUUGUGACAAUAAUUACAUUGAAAACUAACAACCAACUAAUUCAAUUCAAGAGCUAUCACUUGCUGAAUUAUCAGACAUAACUUUGUGAUUGUUACAACCUUCAAACUUCAAGAAGAUUAUACUUUGUUGAUAAAAAGUUACAUUUCUUUCUUUUGAUGUAAGAUAAAAAUAUUGUCAUAUUAUAUGUGGUCUUGCUUGAAAAUGUAUUGGAUGCCUAAUUAAAAAAAAUAAAUAAACAUGCAAGAAAAAUCCUACCAUAUUUAAUAGAAUCUUAAAUAAUCUUAAGUAAACCUUAAUAAUCUUAAUCAAAAUUUGACGAAUCUAAAAUAAAUUUGAAAGAAUUUAUAAAAGAAAUACAAAGAAGUCCUCUACUAAUUUCAAAAAAAAAAUAACAAGAAAUCUUUAAAAUAUAUAGAAAUAAAAAUCUUAAAAAAAAUAAAAAUAAAAAUCUUAAAGAAAUAAUAAAAAUAGAAAUUUUAUUGUAAUCUUAUAUAAAACCUUAAUUGAACCUAAAUUAAAUCUUAGAUUAAAUUCUAAUUGAAAACCUAAUUGAAUCUUAAUCAUAUCAUAUAUCAAAUCCUAGUAAAAUCUUAAUGAAAUUCUAAACCUUAGACAAAUCCUAGACAAAAUUUAAUUAAUUUUUAGUCAAGUUUUAAAUCAAAAUCUAAGAAAAUCCUAAUUCUAAAAAAAUCCUACACCAAAUCUUAAGUCUUAACCAAAUUGUAGACAAAUCCUAAAUAAAAUCCUAUAGCAAAUUAGAAUAUCAACAACUAAUAAUCAAACUAUUGAUAUCAAUUCAAGAUUUGUACACUCCUAAUAUUUUAGUUAGAAACAAGUAUAAGAAAGUUGAAAUUGAUCGUACUUAUCAAUUGAGUAAUACACAAAAUAAUCCAAUUGGAUUUUGGGCGACCUCCUAUUCCAACCUAAAUGUUAAACUCUCAAUACCAAUAUCUCUUCUUUGAACUAUUGAAUUAUUCUCAAAUUUCAUCUAAACCUUGGAAAUCAAGUCUAGUAUCCAUAAAAAAAAAAUCACUUCAAUCUAAUUGAAAAAUCACUAAAGAUCUUGAAAACACUCAUUAAUCCUCAAACUCCAAGUUCUAAGAUCUCAACCUACAAAAAUCUUCACAUACUUUGAUCUAAUCAUUUGUUUGACCUCAAAAUUUGCACACACAUUCAUAAUUAGCACACCAAAAUAUUUCUUAAAAUUCACUUAUAUAUACAUCACAAAAGUGGCGUCCUAUCAAAUUUGUAAACAUAUUGUUAUUUCUCAAAAUCUAAAUCAAUUGAGAAUAUUACUAACUUUUGAAAAUCUCUCAAAAAUUCAAUAUUAUUUCAAUUGCAUCAUAUAGAAAAAUAUAAGAAUAAAUGUAUGUUUGUGACAUUAUCCCUCCUUUUAGAGACGAGUUCUAUGAAGGGUGGUCAUUACAUAUUGAGAAAAUUCAAGAUGCAAUAAAUUGUGUUUCACACAUACACUCAUCUUUGUUUCUUUUGAAGAUAGUUCAUGGAUCCUCUUAGCCAUCAAUAGUGUCCUAUACCAAGGCGAGUAGAUUGUCCUAUUAUUUGAUUGUUAUUGAGGCCUUCGUUGCUCAUUUCAAAAAAAUAUAUAUUUGGAAUGCCAUUGUCAUGUGGUAACACAAUUAUAUAGUGAAAAAAUAAAUAUGGAUGUUAUUAUAGAAGAGCCUAGCAAAAAUAUAUAAUAGAAAAAUAAGGAUAAAAUAUAGAAAGGAAAUAAAAAUAUAUUUAAUUCAUAAUGUUUUCUAAAGAAGCUUCUUAAAUGCUUCAUAGAUGUUGCAUUGACUUUAUAUGUGUUUGUAAUCAAUUGGUAGGUUAGAAAACUUUGUCGACAAAUUAAUUAAGUGUUGAUAGCUUACAGAAUAAGCUAUUUAUAUAAUGCACAUAUUAAAAAAGUAUCUUGCAAGUUAAGAUAUGUAUCUUACAAAGUCAAUACAUUUUGGAGGUCAUAUAAGACAUCGCCACAUAGCUCCUAGUUAAGAAUAUAUUGAGGCAAGAGUGAAGCCUUCUUUACUCUUCUCAAUGUCUUUUUAAUCUUGUCUUGUUUUAAGACUUUCUAGCCUUCUUGGUAUUGCCAAUAGUUAUUUUAGUUUAAUAUUAUAUCAUCUUUGAAUGAUUUUUUAGUAUAUUCAAGUGAUACAAGAAUAUAUUGAUAUUUUAGUUCUUAGAGGUUCAUGUCAAGGACAAGAACUCGAUGAAAAAAUAAUUCAGUCAAGUGAGCCUUCAUUCAAAGAGAGGUAACAAAAUAUAUAUAAACAAGUAUAUAUAUUGAAAGAGAAACUGGAAAGGCUAUUGCCAAAAGACAAGAAAACUAGAGACCCUUGAAACUAGACUAGAAGCAAGAAAAGAAUUGACAAGAGUGAAGAAGCCUUCACUCUUGUCUCUAUAUAUAUUAUCUAACUAGGGGCUACGUGGCGACGUUCUAUAGGACCUCCAAUAUGUGUUGACUUUGUAGGACACAUGCCUUGACUUACUAGGCAAGUUUUUCUAUGUGUGGGCCACAUAGUUAGCUUGAUUUUCAAGCUAACAACAUGUGUGGCACAUGGCCAACUUGUUGACCACGUUUUUAAUCCAAAAAGUCAAUUAAAGACACCUAUGAAGUCAAAGCAGCGUCUACAAAGCUUCUAAGAAGCUUCCAUAUUAAAUAUUAUAGAAUUAACUUACUUUUAUCUACUUUUACUUACUUCUACAUAUUUAUAUAUAUAAUUACUGGCUUACAUGAAUAUGUCCGUGACAUUAUCCCCCCUUCUAGGGACGAACUCCACAAGGAGUGGUCAUCAUAUGUUGAGGAAAUCUAUGAUGUGACGAAUUGCAUUCGCCACAUACUCUGAUCUUUGUUCUCUUCGAAGAUGAUUGAUAGGGCCUCUCAACCAUCGGUAGUGUCCCAUACCAGGGCGGAAAGACCAUCCAGUUAUUUGAUCAUUGUUGAGGCCUUCGUAACUUCCUUCGAAUAGAAUAUUUGAAACACCAUCAGGAGUUGUUCCUACCUCUAGCAAAAUCACCAAACAUCGGGAGUCCCUUCCCAAAUCGUUAUACCAAACGCGUUGUAUCUCACCAUCUAUUUGAGGAAGAAUAUGUCGUUCUUGAAGAUCUUCAUCUCGAUUGCGUCGUCUUGAAGGUUGUGACAAUCGUAAUGUCUUGUCCGACAGGUCAGCAAAUGAAGGCUCUUGAGUUGAAUCUGCUCGUUGUUGGUUCUCCAUCUCUUAAGCGCCACUACUACAACGAAGCUACGAACAAGAAUUGAAAGUAGAAUGUUAUCUUGCCUAGAUGUUGUUUUUUUUAUAAAGAAGGUUUUCAUCUUGAUUUUGAUGGAUGUCGUCGAUGAAAAGCCUUCACCGCCUUUGUUGCAUUUGCAAGAUUCUUUAUUGGCUCCCAUGUGCGUUCAUUAAUACCAUAUCCGUGCGAAUAGACAAGAUAUUCUAAUUUAUUUCGACGUCGCGUUGAAUCUAAGACUUCUUCUACUUCAAACUCUUCAUUAUUGUCCACUUCUAUAGGAGGAGGUGGAGCUUGUCGUCUUCUUGGUAUGUCCAUUGUCUUGUAUGGUUCAAGAAGAGACACGUGGAAUACUGGAUGGAUUUUAAUUGACUCCGGUAGAUGUAAACGAUAUGCAACUGGAUUGAUUUGUGCAGAAAUAGAAAAUGGUCCCAGCCUUCGAUAGUCCAACUUGUCAUAAGGACGAGUGGUCUUGAUAUUGCGACAAAGUAGCCAUACCUUAUCACCCAAGAUAAAUGAUGGUUUUUCCUUUCGAUAGACAUCCGCAUUGGCCUUUUGUUGUUCUUGAGCAUCUUUUAACUGCGCCUUCAUCAUUGCAUGUAACUUUGAUAAAUGAAUUGCCAAAUCUUUCCCAAGAGGAUUAUCAACUUUUGAAAAGUCAAAAGUAUCAAGUCAUGGAUGAUAAUCAUAAUUAGCAAAGAAAGGUGUUUGUUUUGUAGAAGAGUGUACCGUGUUAUUGUAAGCAAACUCUGCCAAUGGCAAAAGAGUUGUCCAAUCAUCUUGUUGGUAAUUAAUGAUACAUCUUAAAUAUUGCUCCAAAACUUGAUUAACACGCUCCGUUUAUCCAUCAGUUUGGGGAUGGAAUGCCGAAGAUAGUUUUAUAUCCACUUUAAGAAUUUUGAAAAGAGUUCGCCAAAAUCUUGAUACAAAUUGAGUUCCCCUAUCUGAUAUAAUAUCCUUGGAUAAUCCAUGAUAGCGAUAGAUAUUGUCAAGAAAGAGCUUAGCUGUUUCUUUACUUGUGAUAGAUUUUGUACAUGGUACAAAAUAUGCCAUGUUGGUAAAAUGAUCUACUAUCACGAAUAUAAAGUCAUAAGAACCUGAGAUUGGAAGAUCCGUGAUGAAGUCCAUAGAAACAGAAGAUCAUGGUUGUUCUAGAAUGGUUAAUGGCUGAAGAAGUCCAAAAGGUCGAUGACGAGGAGUAUUUGAUCUUGAGCAAACUUCACAUGAUUGUACAAAAUCUUUAACUGCCUUCCACAUUUGAGGCCAUCAGAAAUCCCUAGAUAUCAGCUCCAAAGUCUUAUUAUAUCCAAAAUGUCAUGCUGCUGAGAAGUCGUGACGAGCUUGAAGAACACGUAAACGAGCUUCUCCUUCUAGAACAUAUAGGUGUCCUUCGAAAUAGAGUAGGUUGUUCUUGAAUUCAAAUUUAGAUGGAUUAUGAGAUUUAGAAAAAUUGUUCUGGAUAUCAUGAACAAAAGGGUCUGAAGUCAUACUUAACUGGACUUGCUUAAGGAAAGUUAAAUCAACAGUCAAUGUUGAUUUUAUUGCUCGAAGAUGAAAUUGUUCCGGCUUCAAGAGAACCGUUCUUUAUUGCUUAAAAGCUGCAUCUCCUUCUUUUGUGCAAAAUAAGAAUGUCUAGACAAAGCAUCGGAUAAACCUUGUUGUUUUCUUGGCCGAUAAGUGAUGAUGAACUCGAAUCUUGAUAAAGACAUGCUCCAACAAGCUUGGCAACGAUUUAAUACACGUACUGACAUAAAAUAUUCGAGGUUCUUGUGAUACGUAUACACGAUGACUGGACUAGAAGCGCCUUCUAGAUAAUGAUGCCAUUCUUGAAAAGAAUCCACAAUUGCAAGAAGUUCUUUGUCGUGGAUCUCAUAAUUGAUUUUUGCUGCUGAGAAUUUUCUUGAAUGAAAGGCUACUGGAUGAAGUUUGUCAUCUGUUCCCAUUUGUGAUAAAACCGCACCCAGAGCAAAGUCCGAUGCAUCUAUUUCCAUAAAGAAUGCUUUGGAAAAAUCAACACGAUACAAGAUUGGUGUAGAAACAAACGCUGUCUUCAAAGAUUCAAAAGCAACUUCUACUUCUUGAUUCCAUUGGAGUUUGUCUUUACAAGUCAAACGUGUAAGUGGAGCUGCAACUCGAGAGAAGUCUUUGAUGAAGAUCUGAUAGUAGUUGGCAAAUCCCAAAAAACAUUGGACAUCUCUUACCGUUUUUGGGAUCUUCCAGUCUAUAAUAGUUUGAACUUUCUUAGGAUCCAUCAUAAGUCCAUCAUUUGAAAUGCUGUAACCUAAGAAAUCAACUUGAGUAGUGCAGAAUACACACUUUUCUAUCUUGGCAUAGAGUCCUGCAUCUCUUAAUUUUUGUAACACACGACGAACAUGAAGUUCAUAUUUUUUUGGAUUCUUAGAAUAGAUCAAGAUGUCGUCUAGAUAACAUAUCACAAAAUCAUCCAAAAACUCUCGAAAAACAUCAUUCAUUAUAUGUUGAAAAGCUGCUGGUGCAUUUAUAAGUCCAAAAGGCAUGACGUUGUAUUCAAAAUGUCCAUACCUAGUUCAAAACGCAGUCUUCCAUUCAUCUCCUUCUUUGAUGCAUACUAGAUUGUAUGCUCUUUGGAGAUCUAUUUUUGUAUAGAUCUUAGCUUGAUUCAGUUGAUCAAGAAGUCCGGAUAUUAAAGGUAGUGGAUACCUGUUUUUGAUGGUAAUCUUGUUGAGUCCUCGAUAAUCAAUACACAUCCGCAAUGAUCCAUCUUUUUUCUUCACAAAUAGAAUUGGAGCUCCUGCCGGAGAUUUAGAAUGGCAUAUGAAAUUCUUGGCUAGAUUUUCUUCAAUAUACUCCUUGAGUUCAGCCAACUCAUUUUGUGAUAAACUAUAGAUUGGUCCGAAUGGCGGUUGUGCUCCUUCUUGAAGGUCAAUUGAGCAAUCAUAGGGACGAUGUUUCGUGAGUGUAUCCGCAUUCUUUUUUUUGAAUACAUCUUGAAAUUCUUGAUAUUGGCUUGGAAUGUCACUUGAAGUCUUUUCACCAGUAGAAACGGGUGUAGCAUAAAUAAUGUAUGGUGAUUCUUUCGUAGCAACAUGCAAGAAAGCUUUUGCACCUAUAAAUAUGGAUUUAAUUGAACUGGACUUAUGACUCUCUACUUGCUUAACUAUACUAUUAGUUAUACUUUCAGAGAAAGUGAGAGUUCGAGAAAUCCAGUCUAUUUGAAGGUUGUAUUUUUCUAACCACGAUAAACCUAAAAAUGACAGGAUUAGAUGGAGAUCUAAUGAUAUUAAAUACUACAAAACUAUUACGACCAUUGAUUAUUACUUCUAUAGGAAGGAUUUCGUGAGUAAUAUCUCCAGAAGACAAUGGGCGACUAUUUAUGACUUCUACAUGAACAGGUUUAGUUUUCUUUACUAAAGAUAUGCUAUGUCUUUUAGUAAAUUCUUCAUCUAAAAAACACGCUGAGGCUCCUGAAUCUAACAAGGCAGAGACUUUGUAAUGUUUAGGUCCUAAAAUAACAUUUAAUGUAAAACAAGGAGAGGGCUCUGAGGAGAGAAUAGGACCUUUACUAGAAGUUGUGCAAGGUUCCAGCCGCACGGUCCCUAUUGUAGCUAGACAAAUUCGUUUUCCGACAUAUUAUCUUCUUUCAUAGCCAUACUCCUCAUUUUGUGAUUGCGUCGUUUCUUUGGACAAUGCUCAGCAGUGUCCUUUGGUUCUCCACAAUAUACACAUAAUCCUUCUUGACGACGACGAGUCUUUUCUUGCUCAGUAAGAGGUUUGAAACGUACUGCAUCAAUUUGCAUAUCCUCUACUUCCGAAUGUAUGUGUUGAAGAGAUGUUGGUGUUGCCAUUGAAUUAUAGUAACGUUGAGGUCCACUUAUACGGUUCUCAGAUCGGAAUUCAAAAAGGCGAUUGUCGCACUUCACAGCAAAAUCAAUUGCUUGACUCAAUGUUUGAGGAUCAGGUAAGUUGAGCAUUAAUUUUUUUACCUCAUAUUGUAAUCCGUAGAGAAAUUGGCUAAUAAGUGCAGCAUCAUCCCACUUGAUAUCACUUGCAAGUUGUCAAAAUUGUGAAGCAUAUAACGUUAUUGAUUGAUUACCUUAUCGUAAAAUACGGAUCUUAUUCGUUGCAACACAAAUUGCAUCAUGUUCUCCAUACAUGGAUCGAAACUCUGCCAAAAAAGCCUCUAGAUUAUCCAAUAUUGGAUCUCGUUGUUCAAAAAAAGAUGAAAACCACGAUAGUGCCGAACCUGAAAGAAGCGUACCAAUAAAUCUAACUUGUGAUCCUGGAAUUGGAUAGCUUUGGGGUUGAAGUUCAAUCACAAGUUGCACUUGAUUGAUAAAUCCUCGAAACUUGGAUCUGGUGCCAUCAAACUUCUCGGGUAGGGCAAUUCUUGGUUCUCUAAUAUUUGAAGGGCGUUCCACCAUAGGAGAAAGGGCAUGGUUUGGUACAGAUGUUGAAGCAGCUCCGACCAUUUCUAUAUCUUCACUUCCUGCCAAUCUUGUUGCUCCUUGUGGUGGUAAAUUGAGUUGAUGCAUCGCAAGCAUUAACUCCCUCAAUUGCUCUUGCAUUUGUGCCAUUGCACUCUUCAUUUCAAGAAGUUCUGCCAUGAUAACACUUAGAAGAGAGAAGAUGUGUAAUAUCACUCAAGACAAAUAGAAGAGAGGACUUGCGGACAAAGAAAAUACUAAGGAUAAUAUCAGUUUAGAAGAGGGUAAUCCGCAACUUCUAAUACGCUUAUAUCUUAUCAAGAAAAAGGGGUAAUCUACUCUUAAUCAAGUUUAGACAAAGCUCAGAUAUUAUAGGUCUACUCUUUUCAAUCUGUCAAGGACAAGAACUCGAUGAAAAAACAAUUCAGACAAGUGAGCCUUCACUCAAAGAGAGGUAACAAAAUAUAUAUAAACAAGUAUAUAUAUUGAAAGAGAAACUGGAAUGGCUAUUGCCAGAAGACAAGAAAACUAGAGACCCUUGAAACUAGACUAGAAGCAAGAAAGUAGUUGACAAGAGUGAAGAAGCCUUCACUCUUGUCUCUAUAUAUAUUAUCUAACUAGGGGCUACGUGGCGACGUUCUAUAGGACCUCCAAUAUGUCUUGACUUUGUAGGACACAUGCCUUGACUUACAAGGCAAGUUUUUCUACGUGUAGGCCACAUAUUUAGCUUGAUCUUCAAGCUAACAACAUGUGUGGCACAUGGCCAACUUGUCGACGACGUUUUUAAUCCAAAAAGUCAAUUAAAGACACCUAUGAAGUCAAAGCAACGUCUAAGAAGCUUCUAAGAAGCUUGCAUAUUAAAUAUUAUAGAAUUAACUUACUUUUAUCUAUUUUUACUUACUUCUACCUAUUUGUAUAUGUAAUUAUUAGCUUACAUGAUUAUGGCCGUAAUAGUUCAUGUCUUUUAAACAAAGUGAUGAAGAAUUUCCAAGUUAGACCUUCAAAACUAUCGUAAUAUAUAGUACAGUUGUAGGACUUUCUUUCUUUUCAUUAAGUGCAUAAAUUUUGUAGAAAUUAUUAUAAGAAAAUAAUAAAUUAUAUGUAUUAUUUCAAAAAACAAUCUCCAUUAUAUUCCAUGAAUUUCUUUUUCCUACAAUAUGUUUUGAAUGUAUUAAGUAUCAACAUUAGAAAAUUUUUGAAGUUCAUUAUAUAUUCUUAAUUUCAAAGUUAGUAGAUUUAAAUAUAUUGAAUUUUGUAAUGAAUUCAUCAUGUCACUAAAUAUGAUAAUUGGAAAAUUAAACUUAUGAUAUAAAAACGUGAAGGCCAAAUAGUUACAAGCAUAUUAUUGAUUAUAAAAUAAGUUAUUAGCUACUUAUAAAAUUUACAAAGAUAUUACUUCUAACACUUAUAUUAGUCUAUUCCAACAACAAUCAUGAAAAAAAAUUAAUUAAUUGAGUAAUUUAUGUUUAUGCCAGGUAAACAAGUUCAGAUAGGAUAAAGUGGCAUAAUCUCUUCACUCAGACAAGUAUUAGGAAGUAAAAAAAAUUACAUUUAUUCUACUUUAAUUCUAUUUUAAUCCAUUAAUAUUUAUCAACUCCAUCUCAUUUAUCAAAUUAAUUAUUUAAUCUAUAAAUCUAUAGUUUAUAAAUAUUUUUAUGAGAAAUAUAAAUAGAUGUAUGUAAUAUUAAUAAAUUAACAUUUUGCACUCAAAACAACAUAGCUAUCAAAAUGAACAAAUAAAUAGAUGAAAAAACACAUCUUAAAAUAAAUAAUUUUUUUAUAUGCAGGUUUUAAUCAUUUAAAUAAUCAAGUUAAAAAACAUCCAUAAAGAAUAUGUCAAAAAAAAAUUGUUUUCAAAGAAAAAGAAUAUUUAGGCAUCAAAAAAUAACCAUCAAUAACAAAUAAUAAAAUCUUUUACAACCUAAUUAAGAUUUUAAAAAAUAGUUAAAAAAAUAAAAUUAUGAGUGUUGUGAAGAUUUAUUGAUAUAAAUUAAGAAUUUGGUAGAAUAAUUUUAUAAUUCACUAUUACAAAGUAGUAUAAAAUUAAGAUUUUUUAUGAUCUAUUUAGAACUUUCUUUGACUAAGCUCCAAAAUCAAGGUCAAACUUCAAAUCUAAAAGGAUCUAUAAGAGAUUUGUUACAAUUAGCAUUAAAAAGCAAAACUAGAACAAGAUUUACUAAAAUUUAUUCUAACUUUUCAACAAUUAAAUUUUGUGAAAGGAUUAGACCCAUAAUAAUUUUCAUACUAACUCAAGAUUUGUUAGAUUUAAGAUAAGCAUUAAAGAUUUAAAGAUUUUCUAAAAUUUAUUAUGAAUAGUUCUUAUUUUCUUCUCUUCUCUUCUUCCUUUCUUUCUUUAUUUUAUUUAUUUAUUUAUUUAUUUUUCAUAAGAAGUGAUAAAUUUUUCAAAUCAAUAUUCAACUAGGAUUACUCAUAUCAGCAUGCAAUAUAAUUUGUGAAAUUUGAAUAACUUAAAUUUACAGAAAUCAAGUUUUUUACUAACAAUCACCCAACCUGGUUGGAAUUGUCAAACAAGACGUUAAGGAAAUUGUCGAGAGAGGCAAAUCAAAAUCAGAAUAUGGUUACUACGAACACAAAAAAAUUCCACAGGACUCGUUGCAUCCACCAACUUCGACCCUGACAUAAAGCCAAGCCUAAACCUCCCGAAAUCUCGAAAAUUCCUGACAUUCAAGUUCCGGUUUCACCAAGGGAUUCAGUGCAAAUUUUGCAAUAACACGAGUCUCGGUAACCGAGGCUAGCUUGGAAGCGUCUCCCACCGAGGCCGACCCACGGGGGCUCGCCGGGACCCGGGACGCCCACAGCCCAUGGGCUGAUUCAGGAAUUCAGCGAGCCCUCCGUGGCAAGGCUCGCCCAUGUCGAAACCCUAUAUAUGGUGCCCCGCACUGACUGAAUCCCACGCCUCAGAACGAUUGCAGGGUGUGUGUCCUGCGCUCGAAGGCCUCUACGCAGUUUGUGUGGCGACGUUCGCCAGGACGUGACUUUAAGGUUUUUAUUUAUUUAUUUUUUUUUUUAUUUUUUUCCGUGGGCGUGUAUUUGGGGGCAGGUGGUGGUUCGCAUUGUAGGGUGUGUCUUGUUUGGCGUGUUUUGUUUGUGGGUUUGAUUGCACUGCGAGGGUCACCGUGGCACGAUGUCAUAUUCGAGGGCGUCUCGAUGGUGGGACGGUCGGGCGGAUUUCGUGCGCAGAGGAACCGUCAUGUCAUGAUUCUUCAUGGCGUGGCAGCGGCCAGACAACCGUAGAACUCCUUCCACGGUGCUUGUGCUGAUUAAUGCGCUUGCCCUACUAUUCAAGAGUUUACAGUUAAUUUUCACGUGUGGGUGACAUGUUGCUACAUUUGUACUCAAGGUGCGCGCUCGGUCUAUGAGCGCGACUCCUUAGCCUUCGCGGCUGUAGCUAGAGGAAUCGGAGCUACAAGGAUGAGUGUUCGGAUGAUGGGCAUAUCGCUUACCGAGUUCCGGAUAGCGUUUUAUUUUAGGUUGGAACGAUGUCGGUUCGGAUGUGAAGAUGAAGAGUAGAGGCUGAGGCUUUGAUCCUCUUCCUCGUUAGUUAAUCUUCGCAUACGGAUGGGCUUCCAGGGCUAGCGCGCUGGGGGCGUGCCCCUGCUUGUGACAGGCCGGGCGGGCUUUUUCGGAGCGUGCGAGUCUUGGUUUGUGUCAAGGGGGGGGCCACAUCGUCAGUCGGGGAGUUUUGCGUGGAGUCAAUUAUUGUAGGUCGCGCAAUGACGAUAACGCCGUGAGGCAUUUGUGAGGUGCUCGAAAGAGUACCGUGGGCAAAUAAUCUAAACGACUUCUUCUUCCACUGAGCGCCAUCAUAGCGAUUUCGGGACCGAUGAUGACAGUCACAUGAGCUCCAUCUUAACUUCUCGGAGGAAGUAAUGAUGUUUUCAUGACACAGGAUUUCUGAGGUCUUGCACACUGGCACUGAAUCGAUACGGGCAUGUGGUGAGCCGAGAUGGCAGCCGAGAAUGUGAGCUUCUGGAUGAUGACCGAACACGUGCUCGACACCCUAGGUGUAUGACGCUGCUAAAAUACUCUAAUUUUUUGCUGACAGAAGCCCAUCAUAUUGCCACGAGACUCACUUGAUCACUCGGAGUUCCGGGGGAUGGCAAACAUAACCAAACCCCGAUGAAAGUAGAACCCAGAGCUGCGUACAUGAUACGUGGCGAAACACAGGAGUUGCAAACCAAAAUUGAAAGGAUCCGUCAAACGGAAUCUCCGAAUGCAACCGGAAGGAACGAGGGUGAUGGGGGAUGAAACGAACGCUACUAAGCGGUAAUUUGAACGGAACUAAUCUGGGACCUGAACACACGAGUGCGGUGAAACGAAUGCAAUUAAGUGAUUAUAUGAACUUAACUAUGCGUUGAAACUAACUCAACUAUGCGGUGAAAUUAGAUGUCUGAAUAGAAGUGGACACAUGUAGUACGCACCAGAGGACGAGAGUCGUAGCGAAAGAACUUGUUAAAUUCUUACGAGUGCUUCACAUGUAGUGAGGAGGAUGUUUAUCUUGCUGGUGGAUUAUGUAUCGAGGAAACGGGAUGUAGGGUGUAGUGGCGUUGACUGUUUUACCCACUUUAUGUGGUCAAAUGGCUCAAAUAAUGGGACCUUUGGCUGUACUGUAUUUCUGUGAAGGAAAUGUGAUGAUACGAACAGUAGGAAGUGUUAAAGAAAUGCAGUCAUCAAAUUUUUUAUGAAUAUAUCAACUUCGAUUUUCAAAAGGUAUAAGAGAUUUGAA
rnacentral:lncRNA from 1 species